rnacentral:lncRNA from 1 species
GUUGGUAGGGUGCAUAUCUCUCGAAAAUCCAUCCGGGAUAAACCAACCGGGACAAAAGGGGGGGGUCUUUAGUCCCGGGUCUUUUAACCGGCAGUAAAGGUCCCCCUUUAGUCCCGGUUGGUGUCACCAACCGGGACUAAAGGGCCUGCCACGCCAGGCGCGGGACAGGCCCUUUAGUCCCGGUUGGUAAAAGCGACCGGGACUAAAGGGUGCCCCUUUAGUCCCGGUUGGGUUACCCUUAGUCCCGGUUGGAUUCCAACCAGGACUAAAUGGCGCGUGCAUGGCACUGCCUGGCGCCUGAAUUUUUCAUGCAUGCAUCACGUACGUAGUACCGCGGCCCUUUUGUUAACCUUUAGUAGUUGAGAUUUUUUUAGAACGAAAUCAACUAGUAUUUAAAUGAAUGGGAUUUUUAAUUAUACAAUUACUAUAUAUAUACACAAUUCCUAUACACAAUUCAUAUACACAAUUCAACUAGCUUAGUACAAAUCGAUCAUAAUUAGCGUGUAUUAUAUAUACAAAUAAAUCAAAGUAUCUGUCUACAAUCUUCCCGUCGUGGUGUUGCUGAUCGGAGUGUCUAAUUGUCGUCCAUCGUAAUAAAAUUCUCCUUUUGGAUCUACCACCUCGUCCAUUAGGAAUCCAAUGAGACCUUCACAUAUUGUCGCUACUCUUUCUUCCUUCAAGAGUCCUUGUUGAAUAUUUAACAUCUAUAAUUUGGAAAUUUGUGAAUGUUACACGAACAAAUACAUAUAAGGAGCUAGAAAAUAAUUAACUAGUAAUAGUUUUAUUUUACGUACUUUAAAGUUGUGCGGCGUCAUCUUCAGUCCCUUGGGUCCCAUAAAACUGUGCAUGUGCUCACAGAUGUAGUAGCCACAUAGAUUAUUCCCGGGUUCCUGUCUUAAGCACUUCAAUGCGGAAAAAAAUAAGUUAUGAAAUAUUCGUGUUAUACAAUGUAAUAAAUGUGCAGACUUCAUACGUACCGGGAAGUCUGUGUUCCAUGUAAGUUUUUCUUUGAAUGGACCUUUGUGUGUCCUUAUGAAUUGUUUCCAUGCGCUGCGGAUUAGAAUAAUGAAUGAUAUAGUGUAACAGGGAUAAAAUUUAGGAAAUAAACUUUUGCAUAGAGAUAAAGGUCCAGAAUUAUUACAAGCCUAGCAUGUCUUGCACUUCUUGGUACUCCACUGGAUCUUUCCUCAACAAAUCGAAGACAGUGACGUGGCUUCUUUCAGGCUCAAUUAUAAUAAGGAUCCAGUGGAAGCUGCGUGCGUAAAAUGUUCAUGCAUAUUAGAGCUAACUAACAUGUAGAGAUAAGGAAAAAGACAUCGAAAGUAGACGGUAUACACACACUUACUUGAAGUUGUAUGGAAGUAGUAUGAAAUCCUUGAAUGUUUGUUUGUCUAGGAAAUUGUAUACUUCCACCAAGGUUUUUUCCGGCGCUAAUUGUAUCUGUUGUUGGUUAACUACAGAUGGAUCCAUGAAGCCUAUAUGUAGGUACGCCUCUCGGCGGCAUGUCUGAAUUAGUAUCCUACAUGAAAUGGAAGACGAAGUUAGUACGGUGACGCACGCCAAAAUUUACAUGUAGAGAUAAAUGGACACUUACAGAACCCAAGCGAUGAUCAGAGAGACGUCUAGGGCAUCAUGAUGGUACACUGCGUAUAUAUCCUUGAAGUCUAGCCACAACACUUUCUCCCCUUCGCCGUGAAAAUCUAUCGGUUUUACCUUCAGGCCGAUCAUCUCCCUCGAGUCGGCGGAUGCCAUCAUGUACCAUUGAUGGAAUGCGUACAUCUUUGUUGAUAGCUUCCGUACCAAUGAAGGCUUUACUAGAGGUUUGCCUAGCUCAUAAGGCCAUCUCGGCUCAGGGGGCGGUGCAGUUGGCGUCUCAACUUGCCCUAUGCAUUCAUCAAGUCCCAGACCUGUUUCUUCCAUGAACUUCAAUACAUUUGCUUGUUGAUCCAAGGGCAUUGCUUUUACCCGUUGAGCAUCUUUUUUUGAUAAAUGGCUGAGGUCGGGGACAGGACCGCUGGAAGAUGACUUUCCUUUCCUUUUAUCCUUUUCAUCAGCCUUUACUAAAGCCCGUUCAUAGUUUGAUAAGAGUGGUAUCCUUUUCUUGGCUCCUUCUUCCAUCCUGAUAAAAAAGUUUAAAUCUCGCCGAUUUACUGGCGGUGGCUCCAUCUCCCUUGCUUUUUUUUAUUCGGCUUGUUUCUUGAACCACUCACUGGCCUCUUGUUGAAUUUCUGCCCACUGUUCCGCAUGAGACAUUGCCUCCCAGCGUUCCUUACGAGUCACUUCAGGCUCCUUUGUUUUCUUCUUUCUCUAUCUUUGCUUGGGAGGCGGUGCUCGUGACUUCUUUAGUGGUGGUGCAGGUUCCUUCAAGGGGGCCGCUCUUGGUGCCGGCGACGGUGGUCGGGGAGGGGUGUUGUUAUUGUCGUCAUCGCUCCCAGCACCAGGAUGUGGUGGAGAUGGAGACCUUGAUAUAGAUGGAAGGGACAAUCCUGGAGCAGGAGAUGCCGGUCUCGAGGUAUGAGGAGAAGGUCGCUGCUGGGGAUCUACAGGGAGCGGUCUUGAGCUCUGAGGAGAUGGCUCCGUGCCGGGAAUAAUGAUGUAGCGUUUUCUCCAUAGAAUGAUCCCAUGAAGCGCAUCUGCCAAUGUCUUUUCCCCGUCGCCUCCCGGGAGGUCGAGCUCUAGACCUUCAUACUAGCUAUCAACUAUUUGCUCUACGCGGACGCUGGUGUAGCCAGGUGGAAUCUCCAUGCCAUGACUGCUCUGCCCCGCCAGGGUUGCUAACGCACUCCCGUACGCUACCUGUACAUAUAGCAGAAGUAAACAAGUUGAACUCCGAUCUCGAGGCCUGGAUCAAUUGACAAGAUUGCAUAAAUAUUAUGUAUAAGUAUACCUUAAUAGUGAGGUUGCCGACCGGUGCAUGCAGCUCACAUGAGAUUCGUUGUGUGAUGGCAUCCACGGGGAACCGUUGCUCCUCCACGGGUAACCUUGGCGUCUGCGCAUCGGGGACCCCUGUAAAAGCACAACUGCUCAAGAGGCGUUGAGAAGGGCUGGCGGUGUUAGGAUUCGGCAAUGCUCCAGAUUGGGCCAACUCCGCAACUGCGUGGGCCACCCGCCGAUUGAUUUCAUCCAUUAUUCUUUGUUCUUGUGCCUGCACUUUAGAUUCUAGCAUCUGCCACCAGCUCUCCUCGAUCUGUUCCUUUCUUCGCUUCCAGCUUCUGUACGAGGCGCUGUCGCCUUGGAAAGCAAACUUCCACGGAACCACCCCAAACCCUCGGCAACGUCCUGGGUGCUUCGGAUUACCGAGGGCCAAUGUGAGCUCAUCAUUUUCUCGGUCCACCUUCAACCUCCCAGCCUUAGAAUCUUCAAUGUUCUUCACAAGAUGUUCGACCUUCUCACGUAUUGUGUCAUUAAAAAUCAACGUCCCAUCCUCUUGGCUCAGGGAGCCUCCAUGAGCGUAGUACCAAUUUUUUGAUCGUUCCGGUCAUUCAAUAGUUGCAGGUACGAUUCCCCGUUCGAUCAGAUCUUGUUCCAUCUUCCUCCACUUGGGAAUUGCUGAGCCAUACCCACCUUGCCCCAGAUGAUGGUGGUAGCCCUUCUAACUAGCAUUUGUUGUGUUGGUCAUGAUCUUUUUCACACCGUCUUCACUCCUCUUAUAUUCAACAAAUGCAUCCGAGUGGUCCCUCAACUUUGGCCACGCGUUGAAGUCUGGAGUUCGGCCCUUCUUAAUGUAGUGGGUAUCCAGCAUCUUCUUGAAUGUCUGGAAUUGUGUAGCCAUCUUCUUAAGCGUCCACGCUUUGACAUCCUUGUCACUAUAUCCUUCGGGGAAUGUGAAAUGUCUCUUCACGUCUUCCCACAACAUAUUCUUUUCUGUCUCCGGAAGGGCGUACGGAUUAGUGCUUCUGCCCUUCCAUUCUCUGAUGCUGAUAGGCACGUUGUCCCGGACGAUUGCCCCGAUCUGACUCACGUACUUCUUUGUUACUUUCUCGGGAGCAACCGGCCUGCCCUCUUCUGUCACUUCCGUGAUGACAAGCCUCCCUUCCAUCACCUUUGUACGACCUCGGGUCUUCUACCCUUGUGUCGAUCCGGAGGGCUAACAAUUCAAGAUUCGUUAAUUAGUACGUAGUAGUAACGGUGGCGUGAAACAAUACAAGAAUCGUUAUAUAUACCUCGCCGGAACCUUCCGCCACGGCAAGGUGUUGCUGCGGCUGUUGCUCUUCAUUCCCAUCGGCGGACAUGUUGAGGAACAUGUCCGCCUGGGUGCCCUCUUCGUGUACGAUAGUGGAACGUUGUCGCCACUACCAUCACCAGCGAUUAUCUACUCCAUGAUAUACCUUGCGGUCUCAUCGUCUGCCAUUUCAACUAUUGAUUGAAUCAUACAUGGAAUCAUACAUGACAGUCAUAGAAAUCGUCUUACUUAUACGUAUAUAAUAAAAUCAUAAAAUAACAUGAAUCCUACAAAGUCCGGAAUAUUUAUACAAAUUUCUACAAAUAAGUAGUACUUUGUGACGAAUUUCUAGCGAUAACAUGAAUUUUUACGAAUUCCUAGCAAUAACAUGAAUUUUUACGAAUUCCUAGCAAUAACAUGAAUUUUUACGAAUUCCUAGCAAUAACAUGAAUUUUUACGAAUUUCUAGCAGUAACAUGAAUUUUUACGAAUUUCUAGCAAUAACAUGAAUUUUUACGAAUUUCUAGCAAUAACCACAUGCGGUGCCUAGGUUGUGACGGCGGCGGUCAGGGCGGCGGUACGGCGGAGGCGGGGACGGUUCCCCGGAACCACGGGCGGUGCCUAGGUUGUGACGGCAGCGGUCAGGGCGGCAGUACGGCGGAGGCGGGGACGGUUCCCCGGAACCACGGGCGGUGCCUACUAGGUUGUGACGGCGGCGGUCACGGCGGCAGUACGGCGGAGGCGGGGACGACGGCGGGACGGCGGAGGGGACACAUAUACAAAAAUCUAACUUAAAAAAAAUCUAACUUAAAAAUCUAACUUAACAAUCUAACUUAAAAAUCUAACUUAAAAAUAUAACUUAAAAAUCUAACUUAAAAAUAUAACUUAGAAAUCUAACUUAAAAAUCUAACUUAAAAAUAUAACUUAAUUUUCUAACUUAAAAAUCUAACUUAAAAAUAUAACUUAAUUUUCUAACUUAGAAAAAAGGCCCUCCCGGCGCCAGUGCCGGCCGGCGCGGCGGACCUCUCGCGCGCGGUCGUCGAUGGUGGCCGGGGCGACGAGGUGGCCGGGGCGGCGGGACGACGGCGGGCGGUGCGGCGAGGACGGCGGCCAAGGCGACGAACGAUGACAGAGCCAAGGCGCGCGGGACGGCGUAGGCAGGACGGCGACGAGGGGCGACGAGGGGCGACGAGGCGGCGACGAGGAUGGAGGCGGUGACGAGGCGGUCGAUGGAGCUCUGGUGGCCGGAGGCGAUGAGGUAGGGGCCGGGCGCGAUGGACGAGGAGGAUCGAGGCGGGCCGGCCGGGGCGAUGGAGGAGGAGCAUGUCUGGGCGCGGUCGGCGGCGGGAUGAUGACAGCCGACGCAAUGGGGGACGACGACGGCAGCGGCUGGCGAGGGAGGCGGACGGGCGGCGACGGCGGAGCAGAACGCGCGGGACUUGGCGAAAAUUUUGCUAAGUGUAACUGGCGUGGGGGUAGAAGGGAGUACAGUGCCUUUUACCCCCCCCCCCCCCGUUUUAUCCCGGUUCGUAAUGGCACCCGGGACAAAAGGGUGCAUCCGCCAGGUGGGGCUGGGAGCCUACCCUUUUAUCCCGGGUGCCACCACCAACCGGGAUAAAAGGGUACGUCCGGGCGGGAGACGAAAAGUACCCUUUUAUCCCGGUUGCCGUUUGCAGCCGGGAUAAAAGGGGGGCCUUUUGUCCCGGUUGCUGUUGGCACCCGAGACAAAAGGUCUUUUUCCUAGUUUUCUUCUCCCGCCUGUUUUUUGGAAAUGGAUUUUAUUUUAUCUUUUCACUGCAUUUCAGGAUGAAAAACAAAACCUUCACAUAUUUUGUACAUGCAAAAAUAUAUUUAAUUAACGAGUAAAUUGACAAUAAGUAUGAUUUAGUCAUUAAUUCUAUACCAGUUCAUUUAGCCUCUAAAAUAUUUAUUUUACUGCAUCGCUGUGAUCAAGAAAUUAUUCAAUUAAAUAAUUUCAAUGCGCAGAAAAAUCCAUGUUUGUAUGUGGUUAACAUUGUUCAUGUUUAUCUAAAAAAUCUUCACCUAACAAAUUUAAGAACACAUGAAAUCAUACAUAGGGUAAAUUAAAAAUUGUAUCAAUUAAUACAUAAAGGUCAUGUACAUUUAACGCAUUAUAAUACAACAUUGUAAAAUUUCUUCUUCACGAAAGUUCCUUGAUCAUGAUCGCGGCGUAAGUACGGAGCCUGUUCUUUGGAUAGCAGGAUGCUUGGAUCAACUUCAACGUCAAAUGGAGGCAUGCCAUCAAACUGAUCAUAAUCAUCUGAUUGGUCUAUUUUAUCCUCGACUCCCACGAUUUUUCUUUUACCUGGAAGAACUAUGUGGCACUUUGGCUCCCAUGUCUCUUCUGCAUUCCUCUUGGGUUUGCUACACAUGUCCUUCACAUAGAACACCUGAUGCACAUCAUUGGCAAGUACGAAUGGGUCAUCACUGUAUCCAGUCUUGCUCAGAUCUACUAUUGUCCUUCCGUACUGAUCUUUGGUUACGGCAGUUAGCUUCACCCAAUUGCAAAGAAAUAGAGGGAUGUACAGCGGUCCGUAUUCGAGUUCCCAUAUCUCCUGUAUGAAACCAUAAUACGACUCCUUGCUAUUAUUUCUAUCCAUGGCAUCUAUGCGGACACCACUAUUCUGGUUCAUGCUUUUCGGGUCCUGGGCUCUCGUGUAAAAUGUGUAACCAUUUAUCUCAUAGCCUUGGAAUUUGACGAUUGUGCUAGCAGGUCCCCUGGCUAACCAGGCAAGCUGUGGGUGAAUCUCAGAGUUACCCAUAAGUUGUUGGCGCAACCAGGUGGAAAAAGUUUCCAUGUGAUGACGGGUAAGCCAAGCAUCGGAUUUGGUUGGGUUUUUGGAAGCUACCAUCUGCCUGUGCUGCUUAAUAUACGGAGACACAAAGGAUGACUGUUGUAGAAUAGUGUAGUGUGCCUUGUCGAACAAAUCAGUAUCAUUGCUCAAACUUGAUUUCCUUCCAACGGUGCCCAUUCCUCGGAGCCUCCCCUCGUGGCGUGAAGUUGGAACCCCAAUCGAGUCAAUUGAAUCAAUAAAAUCAACACAAAACUCGAUCACCUUCUCUGUUCCAUAUCCCUUGGCGAUGCUUCCUUCUAGACGGGCACGAUUAAGAACAUAGUUUUUUAGGACUGUCAUGAACCUCUCGAAAGGCCACAUAUUGUGCAGGUAUACAGGUCCGAGAAUACCAAUCUCUUUUACUAGGUGAACCAGUAAGUACGUCAUAAUAUUGAAGAAGGAUGGUGGAAAUAACAACUCAAAACUGACAAGACAUUGCACCACAUCGUUCUGUAGCUUUGAUAGCUUGGAUGGAUCGAUUGCCUUCUGCGAAAUCGCAUUGAGAAACGCGCAUAGCUUUACGAGCGGCAACCGGACAUUUUCUGGUAGAACACCCCUCAGUGCAACCGGAAGCAACUGGGUCAUCAACAUGUAGCAGUCAUGAGCCUUGAGAUUUGUAAACUUAUUUUGUUUCAUAUUUAUUAUUCCUUUUAUAUUCGAGGAGUACCCAGACGGGACCUUCAUACUAUUCAAGCAUUCAAACAUGCUAUCCUUCUCUUCCUUGCUGAGAGUGUAACUGGCAGAACGUAAGUAGUGCUGUCCAUUAUCUCUCUUUUCCGGAUGUAGGUCAUCUCGUUACCCCAUGGCUUUCAGGUCCUGUCGUGCUUCCAAUGUAUCUUUUAAGGUUCCAUAAACACCCAUGAAGCCUAGCACGUUCACGCAAAGAUUCUUCAUCAGGUGCAUCACGUCUAUUGCGUUGCGAACCUCUAGGAUUUCCCAAUAAGGUAGCUCCCAAAAUAUUGACUUUUUCUUCCACAUGGGUGCAUGUCCGUUAUCAUCGUUCGGAACAGGUUGGCUACCAAGUCCCUUUCCAAAGACUACAUUUACAUCCUUCAUCAUCUCGAACACACGCUUUCCAUUACGGUGUGUAGGUUUUUUACGAUGGUCUGGCGCCCCUUUGAAAUGCAUCCCGCUCUUUCUCAGCUGGUGGUGAGCAGGGAGAAAUCGACGAUGACCCAUAUAGACGACCUUCUUACAAUGCUUCAAGUACAUGCUGUCUGUGUCAUCUAAACAAUGGGUGCAUGCCUGAUAUCCCUUAUUUGUUUAUCCUGAAAGGUUACUCAAUGCAGGCCAAUCAUUGAUGGUUACGAACAACAAUGCUCAUAGAUUAACGAUCUCUUGUCUAUCCUCAUCCCACACACGUACACCUUCUUCCUUCCAGAGCUGUAAAAGGUCAUCAACCAACGGCCUUAGGUACACGUCAAUGUCGUUGCCGGGUUGUUUUGGGCCUUGGAUAAGCGCCAGCAUCAUAAUGAACUUCCACUUCAUGCACAGCCAAGGAGGAAGGUUGAACAUACAAAGGGUCACAGGCCAAGUACUAUGGCCACUACUCAACUCACCGAAUGGAUUGAAUCCAUCAGUGCUUAAACAAAACCUUAUGUUCCUUGCUUCACUUUCAAAGUCCGGGAAUGUUCUAUCAAUUGAUCUCCACUGUGCCCCAUCUGCGGGGUGUCUCAGCAUCUCAUCUUCCUUACGGUCUUCUUUGUGCCAUCGCAUCAACUUAGCAUUCGCCUUGUUCCUGAACAAGCACUUCAAGCGUGGUAUUAUAGGGAAAUACCACAUCACCUUCGCGGGAACUCUCUUCUUGGGAGACUGCCCCUUGACAUCACCAGGAUCAUCUCGCCUGAUCUUAUAUCGCAGGGCUUCGCAGACGGGACAAGCAUCCAAUUUCUCGUAUUCAUCACCACGAUAGAGAAUACAGUCAUUAGGGCAUGCGUGUAUCUUCUGAACAUCCAAUCCGAGAGGGCAAAUAAUCUGUUUAGCUUCAUAUGUUGUGGACGGUAAUUCAUUAUUCUCGAGGAGAAUCUUCUUGACAAUGUUCAACAUCCCCUGAAAUGCCUUAUCGGACACACCAUUUUUUGCCUUCCAUUGCACAAAUUCUAGUGUCGUACCUAGUUUUUUAUGGCCCUGCUGGCAACCUGGGUAUAACAAUUUUUGGUGAUCAUCUAUCAUGCGCUGCAACUUUGCUGCUUCCUUCUUAGUUUCGCAAUCUCUGUAUGCAUCUCGUAUCACCUGACCAAGGUCAUCAGUAGGGCCAUUUUCUGCAAACUCAUCUUCAUCAGCCUCGCCCAUUGUAGUACCUGCAAAAGCUUGGCUUGCAACCCAGUCCAGAAUGGUGUCAUCUUCCUCCUCCUCCUCGCCAUCUUCCAUUACGACCCCUAGUUCACCGUGCUUGGUCCAAACAAAAUAGUUAGGCAUGAAACCGUAUUUAAACAAGUGGCUGUGAAUAGUCCCCCAGGAAUCCUUUGAAUACUCCUUCUUGUUAUUGCAUUGGAAGUAUGGACAACAUACGAACCCAUUCUCUGGCUUGUUCGCUUUGGCCACUUCGAGAAAAUAAUGCAAGCCAUCAAUAAACGCCUUGCUCCGCCUGUAUGCAUUAUACAUCCAUUGCCGGUCCAUCUGCAUCGUAUUACGCAUGAAAAUGGAUUACACUUGACAAUGGAUUACGCGUGAAAAUCGAUUAAAGAUCCAAACAACAUGGUACAAUACAACAACAUGAAGAUCCAAAAACACAUAUUUAAAUUAAAGUCCCAAACAACAUGAUACAAUACAACAAACCAUCCACUGGUUAUUAUCAAGGAGGACUUUAAGCAUCCUUGGACGGUGAAGACGAAGGUUCCGCUGACCCAACCUCAUCCUUAGGUUUAUUUGUGCCGCCUGAAACGGUAGUACUAAGUGGACGUGAAACACCCGGGACUGAGGGUGGAGCAUAACGACCACCAAAAGGAGGUUCCUGACCCGCGGCAACAGCUUCUUCAUGAUGUUGCUGCAAAUAACGAAGCAUUGCUUUUUCCAGCGCACUCUUUUUCUUCGGCUUAUGCUGAGGGCCAACUAUGAUUUUCCCCUUGCCGAAAUAGGAACCACGAUCGCCCCCACCAUCGCCACUUCCUCUAGUAGCAGAAGCCAUCUAUGUACAAAAAUUAUUACCUUAACACUGCAUAAGUUGUUGAACUUGAAGACCGUGAUCAUCUCGCGAGCAUGUCCUCAACUGGGCGGCACCGCACUUCGUCAUAAAAGAGGUUAGAUGCUACGGAAAAGGGGACACGGUCACGAUGUCCGUAUCCACUCUUUCUCGUAGAAUCGAACCUCCUUCUUGACAUACGUUGCUGCUCGGCGAAGAACAUCCUCGGAGAGAUGAACACGGUAUGCAAGUUCAAUAAGUAUGGAUUUGAAAAACCUUAUUGAAUUUGAUGAGUUCAACAAGUAGCAGAAGCCAUCUAUGUACAAAUUUUUUUUCCUUACCACUACAGAAGUUGUUGAACUUGAAGACCAUGAUCAUCUCGCGAGCAUGUCCUCAACUGGGCGGCACCGCACUUCGUCAUGAAAGAGGUUAGAUGCUACGGAAAAGGGGACACGGUCACGAUGUCCGUAUCCACUCUUUCUCGUAGAAUCGAACCUCCUUCUUGACAUCCGUUGCUGCUCGGCGGAGAACAUCAUCGCAGAGAUGAACACGGUAUGCAAGUUCAACAAGUAUGGAUUUGAAAAACCAUAUUGAAUUUGAUAAGAUAAACGGUCUAGACAAGGUAGCAUCAUUCUUAAACCACUGCAAUAAUGCAUACUAUAUGUAUGACACAUCAAUCUCCCUCACAUUCUAGCUCAAAAUACCUCUCUAUUUUUCUACUUCAUCAUCACAUUCUAGCAAAUAAUAUUUCCAUCUCCAAAGCAUAAAUCAAAGCAUAACACGAGGAUGAAGUAGAAAACCUUCACAACACUUGUGUUGGCCGAGUGAAAUUCCCACGAAAAUGAGGGAAAAAACUUCGGGCAGCACCUCCCUUGCUUCGGCACCACCGGAGAGUAGGUGAAGCUCAGCUCUCUCUGUCAAUGUGCUGGACUGGCUCGGGCUGGAGGAGGAAGAAAGUCCUCUGUCUUGGCCGUAUUUAAUGGGGAUGAGUUUUUAUCCCGGUUAAAAACUCCAACCGAGACAAAAAGGAACACCUUUUGUCCCGGUUGAAAGAUCCAACCGGGACUAAACUUUUUAUCCCGGUUGGAACCUCCAACCGGGACAAAAGGGUUCACCUUUUAUCCCGGUUGGAUACUCCAAUCGGGAUAAAAGGGUGCCGCCACUGACAGCCCUCCACUACCCGUUGCAACCGGGACUAAAGGGGGGCCUUUAGUCCCGGUUGCAAUUACCAACCGGGACUAACUCUCCCCUCCAUUUUUGCCUACCGUGGCGCACCCCCUUUUAUCCUGGGCCAACUUUAAAUCGGGACAAAAGGGGGCGCAUCGAAAGCCAAUUCUCUACUAGUGUGUACAAGUUUAUAGUAUGUAAUGCGGUUCCAAAUAAUACAACCACAGAAAUACAUAGCUGAACUGAACUGUUUUAAAUACAUAGCUGAACUGAAGCAUGUGUACAGGUUCCAAUGUGUAUAAUCCAUAUAAUCCAAAAGUUCAAGUAAUAUGUCUAUAAUAUAUCCAAAAGUGCAAAUACAUAGCUGAACUGAACUAUUUCAAAUACAUAGCUGAACAUGUAAUUUUUUUAGCUGCAAGCACUAUGACAACCUUACAUCAUAAACAAGGGUCUAUGGAAUAGAUUAGAAAAUAACAUAAUGACGCGGAUUGACCAUAUAGUUAAAAAUAAUUUAAUCCACUAUGUAUUUGGUUUUGAUUAGCCGCUAUCAACUAAAAACCUGGAAUGUACUGUUGAACAACAACGACAACCUGUUGAACGCCCUUGCUACCGAAGGAUGGUCACAUAAGUAAGCAUAGAAGUGGACCAGAUAGGCUUCUUCGAAUCCGGGGACAGCCAUCAGAUUGUCAUAUAGGUCUUUUGGGAGCUCAUUGUCUACAGAAGUAGCAGCAGUUUGCACAAUAGCAUCUGAGAGUUUUUCAAGGCCGCUCAGCAAUAUACCCAAAUCAUCAUCAGCACUUAUCCUUGCCCUCCUUGUUUGUGGCUGACUGGUUGAAGAUUGUCCACCGUCAUCAGCACCUAUCCUAGCCCUCCUUGCUGCUGGUGCUUUACUAGCUGAAGACUGACCACCAAUAUUGCUUGACAUUGUGGCUUCACCGUUGUUACAUGAUUCCAUGGGAGCUUCACUAGCACAUCCUUGUUCAUUUGCAGCUCCAUUACUUGCCUCCACCUUCUCCAAAUCAAUGAAAUCUGUUCCAAGAGCUUCACUGCUUCCCUUGGCAUACUUUCCAGUAGCCAUAGCAUUGUUAAAAAUUGUUUCCAUCUCUCGGUAGUGCUCCAAUGGUUUGUUUAGGAAGUUGGCAUCAUCCUUAUGAUCCUGCUAGGUCCAAAAUAAGUAGCAGAACAGUAAUAUCAGCACAAAUGGAACAGUAAUAUCCCAAAUACAAUAAUACACUCUACAAAUUACUACAAGUUAUAAGUGACCUGCACAAAAGGAGGUGCUCUGGACACAUAACUUACAAGUACUGAGCUACAUCAUUACUGCAUAAAAGGAGGGGCAUGCACUUCUUCACUGAUACACUCACUCCAAACACAAAACAAGGUCAUAUGUAUCCUGGCAGCUAACCCUCUGUGCCCAAAUGCAACAGACUGACAUGUUACAUAUUCCAAUGAUGAAAAAAAAUCAUUCCAUUUUGUACAAGUCAUGAAAAUUUAUGUGAUUUACACAAGUCAGGAAAAUUUCUGUGAGUUCAGUAAAUUUAUCUAUCUUUCUUCAGUAGCACGAUCUCUGCCUAAUUUGAGAUACCACUCAUAAUUUUACAGACCUUGGCGACACAAAUUCCAAAGAGCAGCACUUACAGAAGAGUAUGGCUCAAUUCAAUGAUCAGUAUGGAAUAGCAGUAAUGCACUUACCUUGAUAUAUUCUUGGUAGUGACCUGCAUCAAGAGUAAUUGUGCAAGUAUCUUCAUCCCAAAGAGCAGCACUGAUAUUCUGGAGCCUCUUCAUCUUUUUAUAUAGUUUUUUCCACUUCCUCAGAUGGUUAGUAACUUGGGUUCCAGAAACUUAACAACCCAGACUCCCAUUUAAAGCCUUAGCACAAGUAUAUAAGGUGGACUUGCUUGCACACAAAGUUGGUGCGAUUGCCAUUCCUCACAAGUUCAGACAAGUAGGUCAGCACAAAUGUUGACAUCGCAUUGGUCCAUUGAAUAUGGCCCCUGCAGCAUCCAUUUCCUACCAAUAAAGUGAAACAAUAAGGCCAAUCUAUAACAAAAAGAUAUGCAAACAAUAUGUCAUUUGAGCGCUGGAUCUCACCAAGACCAAUCUGAAACAAACAAUUAUAAGUUCAGUUCCAAAGAAAAGUAUUGGUCUGUUGCACAAGGGACACAAAAAUUAUAAGUUCAGUUCCAAACAAACAAUUAUAAGUUCAGUUCCAAACAAACAAUUAUAAGUUCCAAAGAAAAGUUCAGUUCAAAUAUUACACAGUUCCAAAGAACUGGUCUGCUUGCAAAUAUUACAAAGUUCUUAUAUUACAUAAGGACACUAUAUUUAAUGGCCAUAGUGGUUUUGUCGAUCUUGCCACAUCCUCUCAGCAAUUAAUUGCCUCUUUUCAACCAUGAACCUAUGGUCAUCUGACUGUGCAUUAGCUGCAGUAUGGGGACUAGGUGUCAAUGUGUUCUCCAGCAGAAUGAAACAAUCAGUACCUUGAGAAACAACCCAGUUAUGGAGGAUACAACAUGCUAUGACAAUAUCAACUUGAGUAAGGUAUGGGAAGAAUGGCGUAGCAUCAUCAAGGACUUUAAAUCUUCUCUUGAGUGAUUCAAAGGCACGUUCUACAGUCACACGUAGAGAGGAAUGCCUUAGAUUGAAUAGCUCCUCCUUUUGGACUGGAUUGUUUCCCCACUCAUUCAAGUGAUAGAGCACACCACGAAAAGGUGGUAUGAAUCCAGGUUUGGCUCCGUAUCCCGCAUCCACAAGGUAGAAUUUUCCUAUGAUAUGAGGAACGUAAUGCUUAUUCUAUUGGGUUUCAGUAAAUUAGUGUAUGAACACAUACAACUACGGUAACAUUACCUUUGGGAACUCGUAAGCUACCAUUCUCACGCUCUAGGGCAUCUGCUAAAACCACAGCAUCAUGUGUUGUGCCCUCCCAACCAGCUAGAACAUAAUUGAAUUUCAUAUCAAAAUCUACAGCAGCCAUCACAUUUUGUGUUGCAAAUGACUUUCUACCAUGAAAAGCUGGCUCCAUUGACUUAUUAACCGAGGCCCGUAUAUGUGUUCCAUCAAUGGCUCCAAUACAAAUCCUAUUUGUUAAGCACGCAAGAAGGAUUAGUUCCUAGAAAUAUGAACCUAUCAGCAAGGUACGAUUGUCAAGUAUCAUACCUUAAAGUAUCGAUCCCAUCUAGGGUUGCCUGCAAUUUUGGUUGGGGUCUCCAAAGAAGGUGGUUGGAUAAGAUCAUUUCCCAACUCACUUAUGGCAUUGAGGAUGAUUCUAAAGUAUCUACUCACUGUUUCGCUUGAUCUCCCGAAGUUUGUAGCAACUACCCUAUUCCUUUCAUUGUGUCCAAUCGUAUGGAGGAACAUGGCAACUUGCUCUUCAACAGAUAUAUGUAUUGUGUCACAAAGCAACUAUCAUUCCCUUAAAACUUGACACAACUGAAAGAAAGAUGCUCUGUUAAGCCUAAUCAUAUUUGUGCAGGUUGUGUCAUCCCGCAAAAUUUUAUCAUUCAGGUAGGAUAUUCUAGCCGCAUCCCUUUCCACUAAUGGGCCAUAUGUAAUAGGCUCUCUCCUAUUCCUUAAUCUGGACCGGACAUACAGAACAACCAUAGAAGCGGCAAUAUAUGCAGCACUAUUGAUAAGCAAUUUUCUCCUUUUAACUUGCCUCUUGUCCAUCUACAUGACCCAAAGCAAUGAAAAAAUAUUGUAACAAAAUAUUGAUGAAUUACUUGCAUUUGAGUUACUGAUAAUUGUGCUGUUAUUGAAGAAAAGGAAAAAGAUUGCACAUUUUAUUACACAUGAUGCAAGGAUACAUAGUUUUCAUAAGCAAAGGAGCCGCAAAUAACAGGAAUACAAAAAAGAGAACUUGGUGCUUAGUAAGGGAAAGACAUUAAAAGCUUCUCCAAACCCCCUGCUGUUUUAAGAAACUAUUCAGUCUCUUACGAAGAUAAUCCCCUGCUGUUUUAAGAAAUUUUUAUUUGUAAGCAGUCAUGAGAAAUCAUAAGUCCAAUAGGCAUUAAAAGCUUCAACAAACCAGGAAUGUCCACAGCAAAAGGAUAGCUCUAGAAUUAUAAAAGUUUCAUACAGAACCCCAGAGAUAGGCAAACCUAAAGUAAUUGCCGUUUUUUAACAAUCUUCUCUUCUCUGAACUUUGCUUAUCAACUUCUCAGCACAAAGAAAGUAUGUGUGCUAAACGGAAAGUCAAGUUCUGGCCAGGCUACUGUCAGAAUAAGGCAUCACAUGGAGCAUCACAAAUAUUCAGGCGACCUUUAUACAAGAAUGCCAAUUUCUAGUAAUUAAAAAACAUGGAGCAUGUUGGCCUUAAACUCAAUAAUAUCAACGGAAUGGUACCAAACUGGAUAAGCAGAAAGUACUACCAAUCAAGAAAGUACUACCAAUCCAGAUGUGGCAAUUAACAAUUAAUAAUAUUGAUGAACAAGAUUAGGGUUCGCGCAACACAAUGGAAGAAGGGGGAACCACGGGUCAUACCUUGCCUGGUGGCUGCUGGCAAGAAUCUGGUCGUGGCCGGCGAAGAUCGGGUCGUGGCCGGUGAGGAUCUGGUCGGGGCCGGCGAAGGUGCGGUCGUGGGUGGCGAGGAGGUGUGGGAGGAGCGGGCUGACGGGCGCUGGACGAGCGGCGGCAUCGGGGAGCCGACGGCGGACCUGCGAGGGGCGGUGUCAGGGAAGAAGAGCUGGCAGCGGAGUCGCGAGAGGAAGAGGAGUGGCGGGUCGCGAGCAGCGGCGUCCCUCAGGUCUUGAGGGGUUGCGCUCCAUGUUCUGGAUGCCGCAGUCCGGUUAUUUCGGGCGUACGGGAUGGUUCAGAAUAUUUGUGGAAUAUUCCCUGAGCUGGUACAACUCUGUGCAGGAUGGUGUGGUACGAUUCAAUCAACCAAACGCUGGGACAAGGUUCGAUCCUAGACGAACUCGUACACGUACGCUGCCGUACCCCCCACCAAACGCACCCUAAAACUCUCGGUCAUCAGUAUAGUUGCAUGAGCCAGCUCUAAAUGGGUACUUUAAAACCGGUUUGUGUUAUGUUUAUGUUAUGCAUUUGUAUCAUCUUACAUAGUUGCAUUGAUCUGCGCAGAAAGGGAGGAAGAACAUUAAUGAUGUCCCUAGCUCCCUGGAGUCAGUGGAGUGCUAUGGGAAGGAGCAUGGCACUACAGGAGAGUUGGCUGCAGCAGCACUCUCCGCAAUAAUGCUGGAGCAUGCGUUGAGGAGGAUCAACAACGCGUGCAUGGUGAUAGACCGAGCACUGCUUCCAGCAGUGAAGUUGGCCGUGAUCAACCAAGCAAAGACAAAUGAGGUGGUAUACAUCGGAGGCAAAGAUGCCUACACCUUCACUGGUGACCUCGAGGGUCUCGUGACCUCCCUAUUCCUCAAGCUUGUCCCCAUUUAAAUGUUGAAUGAUAUUGUGUUCAUGUUUUCUAUAAGCAAUUAAGUUUGCUUGGGCUUUAGCUUGGUCAUGUUUCUCGUCCGCUCACAUGGGUGUAAGCCUUUAUGUUGGGUAGAGCAUCAUUAUCCCAGCCCACUUUCAUAGCCAGUUCAUAAUAAGCUCCAUUGGCCUAUCAAUCAUUGAGACGUUAGGAACCAGCAGUGAUGCAUAUUAUCACUGCCGGUUUUUGUGUUACAUCAACACCCCUCAUCAGUCCCCUUCUAUCUUUCCCACGCCCAGAACUCAAUGGCUGUGCUUGCAUCCAUAUAAAUAAAUGGAAAAAUAUAUGCGUCAAGACUACAAAAUUGAAUAUUUGACAUAUGGACGCAAAUCAUCCGUUAUUUUAUGGUAAUAUAAUAGGAGGAAAUCGUUCGUUAAACAAAAAAAACAAAUAUAUCACGCCACACAAUGCUUGCUUUGAACUAUAUUGAAGCACAUCACCGAACCCUCAUGCCAGGACUUUACUCAGUAGCUUGAGAGGAACUAAUGUGUGAUCACGCAUGCAUUUCAAAGAUUAUGAAAUCAGAAGAGCAUCUUGGUGAGGAAAACUCUGGGUUUGUGGAUUCGGUUUGUAGAAUAACACUCACCAAUGUCUGAGCAUAUCAACGAACCACCAUCUACCCAAGGAAACGAUACCUACUCUAAUCACAAUAGUAAAUAUUGAAAAUAUUAAGCAACUUCCAAAUGCUUACCUGAGGUCUUCGGCAGAGCUCUGGAUCCACAAAAUUUUUGGGCCUUUUGGAGUUAGGUAAUCGUAGAUCCAAGAAAUCAUCGAUAUGGAUCAAAUUAAAAGGUACAUCAGAUUCAUUAAUAGAUCAUGAAUCAUUUUGUUUACAUAUCAAACUAAAUAAAAUACUUAAGUCACUUUAAUUUUGUAUACAGAAUACAAAUCCAACCUGGACCUAAAAGUUUGGAGCCAUGCAAAACAUUAAGAAUAUCAUGGAGGAAGGAAAUAUGUAAGUUGUAUUUGAUUUUGCCAACCUAUGUUCGUACGAUAUUUUCUAUUCACUUAUUGAACACUGGAAAUCAUUUGUUUGGUAGAGUUAAAUAAUUUGUUUGCAUUGACGGAAGAAAAAUUGGGGAAUGGACUGAAGAAGCCGGAGGAUAAGUCCUAUUAAAACUGACAAAAAAAUAAUAAAUAGUUAAACUGACAUAUUUGCAAUGAGACAGCCAAACGACAGCCGCCAAAGACACGGCAAAUCUCACUCCGACGGGCUAGGCCACAUGGAGAACGGCAACGGGACGUCCUUGACGAAGGCGGCGAGGCCGGCGGCAAGACUUGCGCCGAGACCGAUGAACUUGGCUUUGUUCACCUGCCCGCAGGUCUGCACGCCGUAGGCCGCCACCGCAGCGAACGCCGCUCCCGACGACGAGUACAGAAGCACCUGCACGGCGACGUCGACGACGACCAGGACGACCCGGGGAAGCACGGGCGCUUCCUCGUCGCCGUUGUCGCCCUUGCCGGUCUGCAGGUAGAUCGCUGCCAUCUCCAGGAUCGUGGCGGCGAUGUUGGACCCAACCAGGUACCUGCACACGAACGUACGUAUCUGUAGGUCAGGACGACGACGACGCGAGAUCGAUCUAGGCAUCUAGCUAGCCAUGGUGGUCGCGUGUGCGUACGCGAAGGGCGGGUAGUCUUUGUAGGUGACGGUGGUGGCGGCGGCGGCGCCGUCGUCCCCGUCGCCGUCGAUGGUGCACUCGUUCGCGGUGGCCAUGACGAUGGCGGAGGCGAGCGCCAGCCCCAUCGUGCAAAGGCGGAGCAGGAGGGUCACCGCCUUGGAACCAUUCGGCUCGCCGUCGGGCAUCAUCACAUGGCCGUCGGAGGGGAUCGGCAGCACAUGGCCGUCGGGAGGCAUCAUGAUGUCGACGCGCGCACGCUCGCUUAGCUGAUCACGAUGGAGAAGCCGAACUCGAGAUUGGUUUACUCAUGGCAAUUUUGUGUAUAUAUAGUAUGAUAUGAUGAUAUAAUACAAGGCAACUGCAUACGUAAAGGGAUUCUUUUACAUGUAUAGGACACACACAGGUCUCGGAAAAUGUUUGUCAGUUAGGCGCUGUUGCCUUGUAUUCUCGCAAAUGAAUCAUCAGCUUUUGCCAUUUGAUCUUUGCUCCUACCUUAUGCCUUUUCCAUGUAUACAAUGGCUGUAACCUCAGUAGAAAAAAAAUGGUUAAGAACGCAAUGAUUCUAGCAAUAGUUUGACACGCCUGGCAGUAACGGGAGGUCUGCGAUGACUUCGUGAAUAUCAAUAUUUACCAGCCAAGGUCUGUCAUAGGUGACUCCACUAUAAAAGUAACUUGUACCAGGCACAUUCUGCACCAUGCUCCUGCUAGAAAAUCAGGCCAAAUUGCUCACCUCUUUAUACACAUUGGUUCUUAUUCUGGCUGACGUGAGCAUGCGGAAAAAACGACAAAAUCUCUUACUUCACCCUUGUGCUAGUUGCUUUUGCGGCGGAAAACACAGGGUAAUCCCGUGCUUUUAUUCCUGAAUAGAAAUAGAUGCCUGCAGUAGCUGACGCACGACUACACGCAGGGGAAUUCCUUACUUUUGAUGCUUGGUCUAUCUGUCUAUCAUACCAAUCUUGGUAAGUCCGAUCGAUCCGCCCGUCUCGUAGUCACAGUUAUUUGCUAUAUAUAUGGCUUUGGUGCAGCCAAUGCAAAUUUGCAACACAUCUCCUCACCGAACAACAAUGGUGGUUUCACGGAAGAAUCUCUCUGCAGCCGCCGCCGCCGCCACCGCUGUCCUCAUACUCAUUGCCAUGGCCGCAGGUACGUUCGUGCACAUGCGUGACCUAUAUAUAUAUAUAUACUUCCUCCAUUUCAAAAUAUAGGUCGUUUUAGGUUUUUUAGAUUCAUAGAUUUUGCUACAUAUCUAGAUAUAGUAUAUAUCUGUAGGUGCAUAGCAAUAUCUAUGAACCUCGAAAAUCCAAAACGACCUACAAUUUGGAAUGGAGAGAGUAUAUAUACAAAUAACAAGCCGCAAGUCGCAGUGUCGUUUGAAUAUUAAUGACCUUUCUUGCAUAUGUGUGCAGAGAUGGCGUCUGUUGGUGCGGCAGACACUUGCAGGCAGCUGAGCGGCGCGUUUCACGGGUUGUGUGCCUCGAACCAAAUCUGCGGAAUGAUAUGCGCAACUGAAAGCAGCAACAACAUUGGCGGCGUGUGUGACGACACGUGGCCUCGUUGCUACUGCAUUUAUAACUGCUAGUCCUUGGGUUGCUGCUUUACAAUUUGAUCCAUCCGGCCGUGAUGAACUGAUGAUACAAUAAGAAUAAUAAUCCCUGCCCUGAUCCCGUGUAUUAAUAUGUCCCGUGUAAUGUGCUUUUGUGGGGAGAUGAGCUUAUAUUGUGAGAAUAAAAUUGGACUUGUGGAUCAAAAUGAAUUUGUUUUUUAUCUAGCACAUGUACAUGCGCUUGAGCUGCUGAAUCAAGUAGUGAUCCAAAACCCCGUGAAUGAUCCUGAUGCCUAAGGGCAUGUUCGGUUGCUGGGGAUUCAGUCCCAAGGUUGAAUGUUUCCACACCGGGAAUCAGUGGAUCCCUUUGAUGUCACUUUAUCCAUACGGGGAUUUAAUGCUCACUACUGCACAACUCACCUUUACACCGGUAGAGAAACGACUUUGAUCCUUGAACAUAUAUGUCGGUCGUUUUUGGACCCAGGACUAAAAGAGCUUUUGUCCCGGGUCAAAUUCCCACCACCGAUGGCCACCUCCGACAGGCUCUUUAGUCCCGAUUGGUAAUAUCAAUUGGGACUAAAGGGCUCCCUUAGUUCCGGUUGUAACGGCUAGUAAAGCUAGUAAAGCUACACCUGACUACUUCAGUGUUGGGGUGGAGCAGAUUUGUGAUAGUCAAUAUGAAGGCCUAGAGCUCAACCUCCUGGGAGGUGACGGGGAAAGGACACUAGGAGAUGCACUUCACAAACAUUACAUCAUCAUCCCCGGUCAGGAGGCAUCAUUUCUUCCGAUAGAUCCCCCGCAGCCACCAUCUCCUUUGAACUCAAGACCAUCAUCUCCAGCACAUCCAUCUCCAGGACUGUCGUCACCAUCAGGAGUGUCGCAUCAUACUUGAUCACCGUCUCAAAAAACCAUCGAAUCCUGGAGGUGCGAACGACAACGACCAAAACACCCCUCCCCGAUCACCGUCUGUAGUGCCGGGACUAAAGUCUGGUGCGAGCAAGGAACGUGCAGCACGUCUCAAGAAGUUGCAACCACCAUCUUCCAAGCCAAAGCAACAAAAGGUGGAAGAAUCGAGAAAUAAAACAAAGAAGUCUGAACCUAUUAAGAAGAUUAAGAAGCUAGUAGGCAAUAUGACUCCUGAAGAAUUGGAGGAGGCAUCACAAGCAUAUGUAAGGGAAUGGUUUGAAAAAAAUCUCUGCAAAAGAAAAGCGAAAUAGAUCUAUCCAAAUUAAAGUUUUUUAUUAGCAUGAAAAAAGAAGUGAAGAAGAUGUUACUAUCGAACUACGAUCAUUUGUUAGUUAAGCCUUAUCGGAAGAAAAAACAAGGAGAAUCAUCAUACAGUCAUACUGUCCCCCAGCUCGGGCAGCAAGAUCAGCAAUCAGAUAAAGACGCUCUGUCUAUAGAAGAUAUGCCUAUAGAACAACAAAUCAAGGUCAUUAAGUUUAUAAAAGACACAGGUGUCUCGCUUGCUAAAGUUAUAGGGCGACCCAAACAAACACCUCUAGAAAAGACUGUAUCUAAAUGACCCUUUGAGUUAGGCAAGCCUCUAGUCAGGCCUGAAUUGGUAUGGAAGCUCUCAACUAAGAUGUAUGAAUUCCAUCAGUGGUACAUGAAACAGUCAGCCAAGGAAAGGGUCAUGUUCGCUCUUCUUGUUAAACUGAUUGAUUUUUUCGGUGAAGUUGAGAAACUAUUGUAGUUGGAAUUCAAGGAUAUUUAUGAAGUGUACCAUCAAGAUGCCUUUGAUGUCUCUCUCAUCAGCGCCUAAGUUCUAUAAGUGUGUGUUUAUUGGAUGUUAAUUUUGGCUCAGAUCAUUAUUUUGUGUGUGUGUGUCGUCCUACUAACUUUGUCUUUCAUUCUAUGUAGGAUGCAAUUCUAGAGGUGCCGCCAAGAAUCGUACUUCAAUGCUGGCUGCAUGGACCCAUCGCUUGUUAACCAAGAUCAGAUUCGGGAUCACCCAAACGAUACAUUGGACCGAAUAUAUAAAUUUUUGGAGGAACAAAAUUACAAGCAAUAUAUACUACUACCUUACAACUUUAAGUAAGUGCGAGUACAGUCUAUUUUCAUUUUCCUUUUCCUUACUUAAUUAAUGUUAGUCAGUUCUAAUAUGAAACAUUUAUGUACGUAGUUUCCACUGGAUCCUUAUAAUUACGAUUGAUCAAGGCAACGUUAUUGUGUUUGAUUCGUUGAGGAAACUAAAAGACGAGUACCAAGACAUUCAAGACGGACUUAACUUGUUAUAAUUCUGGACCUUUAUCUCUAUGCAAAAUUUUGAUUCCUAAAUUUUCACUUAACACUGUAUCAUUCAUUAUUUUAAUUCACAGCGCAUGGAAAUAAUUUCGUAAGCAUCACCGUGGUGAUUUCAAAGAAAAACUUACAUUCAGUACAACAUUCCCGGUAUGUAUGAAGUUUGCAUAUUUUGUACAUUCUAUAACACAAAUAUUUCAUAACUUGUUUUCAUUCACUAAAGUGCUUCAGAUAAGAACAAGGGAAUAGUUUAUGUGGAUACUACGUUUGGGAGCACAGGUACAAUUUCGUGAGGGACAAGGUGAUAUCAGACAAUAUAAUUGUACGUAAAAUAAACCUAUUAAUAAUUAAUCAUUUUCUAGCUCCUUAUAUUUAAUUGUUGGUGUAACAUUCACAUAUUUCUAAAUUACAUAUGAUGCAUUUUAGAGAAGAACUCUGGGAGAAGGAGAGGCUUUUGGCAACCCAAGAAGCUCUCAUAGGAUUUCUGGUGGAUGAGGUGAUAAAUCCUAAUAGAAAAUUUUAUUAUGAUGGACAUUCAAUAGCCGAACUAAGCAACACCACAAUGGGAGGAUCUUAAGAAUUACGAAGACAAAUUAUUGUAUAUAUAGUAAUUGUAUAAAUAGUAGUUAAAAUUAAUAUUAUACAUAUACUAUCAUGAAAUAUAUAUAUGACAUGCAUACAAUACGAGCGUAUACAUAUAAGUAGUGUAUGCUAAGCAUGUAUACAUAUAGGUGCGUAUAUAUAUGUGAAGCAACAAUUAGCAUUAAUAUAGAAAAGAAUUCAGAGUAAAAAGAAAAAGGUCCUUAGUUACCAACUGGGACUAAAGGGGCCAUGUGCAUGCACCUGCAUUUGCAUGCAUGGCAGCCCCUUUAGUCCCGGUUGGUAUUAUCAACCAGGACUAAAGGAGGUCUUUUGUCCUGAGUGAUUGGCCCGGGACUAAAUGGGUCUUGAAAGAUUAGUCUCGGUUAGAUUUUGAAGAUAUAUGAACCUAUCCAACUAGGACAAAUGUCCAUUUUUCCACCGGCGUUAGUACCGGUCGAGAAACCCCUUUAGAACCGGUUUCCCGACCGGUACCGCUUAUCCGGUACCGGUCAGCUCACCCACUACUAAACUGCGCGCCACAUUGUAUGACGCGGGUCCAUCUGGUUGGUGUUACCAAUCGGAAAUAAAUGGUUCUUCUUUUUUAUUUGCUGUUUUUCUUUUAUUUUUCCUAUUUUUUUGUUUUAAUUCAUAUUUGUAUUCAUAUUGUUAUCCCAUUGCAUAUACUAGUAAUAUUGUACGUUAAUAUAUAUUGAUCUAGCAUAGUAAACAUUACAUAUAUUAUAUAUAUACUAUUCAAAUAUUAUAGGUAUCCGGAAUAUACACUUCACGUCCAUAUUCGAAACCACAUCAUUUUGAAGAAUACCCACACUUGUUCCGUCGUAAAAAAAAUUCACCUUGCGGAUGUAUGACCUCAUCCAAACAGAAUCCACAUAGUUGUUCUUGAAUUGCCAUGACUCGUUCCAGGGCGAGUAGCUCUUCUUUCAUCCUCAUUAUCUAUCACGUAUAAAAAUUAUUAUUUUAAUUCAAUAUAUGCACAUUAUUAAAAAUAACAAAUUGUUAUCAAUAGUGUUUAUAUACUUGGAAUUGGCGAGACGUCAUUUGCUUGGGACCUACAAAGCCAUUGAUGAACUCACAUACAUAGUAUCCACAUAAUUUGUUUAGUUAUCCAUGAAACCCCUUUCAUAUAUGUGGGCGCGUAGAGUGUUUCUUUCAGAGUAAUUCUUGUUAUUUUUGUAAAUUUUGCAUAGACAACACAUGAAACCAUUCGACGACUUGUUGGCCUCUGCCAUAUCAAGAAAAGUCUAUAGCCCAUUAAUCCAUGCCAUGGAGCACCGGUCACCGUACAUCCAUUGCCGGUCCAUAUGCCAUUAAUUUUUUAUUUUUCUUCAUUUCUAAAUCAAGAAAUAUAAAUUAUUCUUUCUAUAAAUUAUUGCUAACCUUCGAGGACCACUUUGGAUGAGCAAAUUAAAUCCCAACAAAAAAUGUAUGCAAUUUCGGCAGCACCUCCCUUAUGCCUGAGUCACCGUGAGUUUCACCUUAAUUAUGUUUAACAUAAAUAAUUAAUUGAAAUUUUUUGUUUCACAUAAAACACAAUUUCUUAUCAAAGAUGCACAUAAUCCUCAACAUCCAAUACAAAUUUCUACAUAUCCAACACAAUUAUUCAACAUCAAGACUUACAACUAACAAAAAAUUAAAUAUCUUCAAACCAAUACAAAUUUCUCAAAAUCCAUGAUGCAACUAAAAUAAUUAUACAACACGACAAAGGUCUUAAAGCAUCCUUGGGUGGGAAAGAUGAAUGCUCCAGCGGAAUUUUUGCUAGCAUAUCAGAUGAUGGAGGAGUUGGAACCGCCGUGUUUGGGGGUGUUGGAGCGUAACGACCCCAAAAGGAGGUGGAGGUUCCUCGCCCACUGCAACACAUUUUCAUGUUCAUUUUCCAAAUAAGGAAGUAAUCUUUCUCAAAAGCUCAUAGUUUCUUCAACUUCUCAUGAGGGCUUGCUGGAGUUUUGCCAUUGCUGCGAGAGGAACAACAAUCACCCCCACCACCGCUCCCUCUAGCAGCAGAAGCCAUCUUGAUUAGACAACACUUUAAUUUUUUCAAUACGAUGAAAGGAUAUUAGUAUUAUGAAGGACGAUUCUAUACUCUCCCUCGUUCUAAAAAUUACAAAUUCUCCAUUCAUGUAUAAAUAAAAUAUCUCCAUUCUGUUUAUAUGUGUAAAUAAAAAAAUCUUUGCAUUCUCUUUGAUUCUAAAAAAAUUAAAUUUUUCUAGCUAUAGAGCAUAAACAUUCCAUUUUAAAAAGUUCAUAAUAAAAUAUUCGCAUAAUGAAGGAUGAAAUUUGAUACUAAAAUAUUAACAUAAUGAAAAUAAUUAAACAAAUAUACUCUAAUUCCUCUAAAAUUAUAAGCAUAAAUAAAAGAAUUAAACAAAUAUUAGCAUACUCUAAAAAUUUUAAAUUCCUCUAAUUAUAGAGAUAAAACAUUUUAUUUUUCAAAUUUGACAAUAAAUAUUAGCAUAAUUAAGGACCAAAUUCGGCAAUAAAAUAUUAGCAUAAAGAAGCAUAAUGAUAUAUACACAUGGCACUUGAAAAUAAUUGAACAAAUUUACUCUAAUUUUACCACAUGCAAACUAUCCAAUAAAGCUUCUCUCAAAUUCAAGUCACUAAUUCUAUAUAUCUCAAAUAGAUGUAUAAAUCAAAAAAAUCUCAUCAUUCUCCCUCCUUUAAAUCACAAAUUUCUGUAACUCUAGAGCAUGAAACAUAGCACAAAAACCAAGAAAGAAGAGAGGAUGAAGUUGCUAACCGUUAGAACACUUGGAUGAGUGAAAAUCCCCACAAAUUGUGGAAAAAAUGGACAGCACCUCCCGGUCGCCAUAGGAGAGAAGCCCGAGCUCUUGGUCAAAUUGUUUGGCUCGGCUCGGGGAGGAAGAAGGAGCCCAAUUUAUAGGAUGGAAGUUAGUACCGGUUCAUGGCUCGAUCGGUACUAAAUGGUGGCAUUUAGUACCGGUUGAAGCCAGGUACUAAAUAGUCUAGGCACCAUUUAGUACCGGCUCGAGGAAUCAGUUGGUUCUAAAUGGCGUCCAAAGGAAUCUAGCCAUUGGCCCCUGUCCUUGUGAUGUUGUUUAGUACCAGGUGAAGCCCUCACCCGGUACUAAAUGGCUUGCGGGGGCACUGUGCUACAGGUUCGGUACUAACGCGUUAGUACUGGCCCGAAACUGCAGCCAGUACUCACGCCAGUGACGAAUGCUCACUUCUCCGGUAGUGGCUUGUCUUAAAAACAUGUUUGGUUAAGCCCUGUGAUGUCCAACAGAGCCCGAUAUUGAGAAGCACAAAAUGAGAGCACAAGUAAAAACUUUUUUUUGCUUCAGCUUAAUUUCUGAGUCAAAGGAGACAGGCACAUUAUCUUUUUCCGACUAAAACACUGCCAGAAAAUAAAAACUCAUACAAGCUCUAAAAUAAUACACUGCAGGCAAGGCAUCAUCCACUCAUCGUCUGAUCUCAUUCCAAGAUUAUCUAAUAUACAGCGAAGUGCUGGUUACCGGUCACUGGUUAAUAACUCAAGGCAUUGAAAGACACUAUCUAAAGAUGAUUAAAUUCGUGUGAAUGGCCCCUAUGAUGAGCAAAAAACAUCUCCGUCAAAUUCUUACCAAAUAAUGCAAAAUCUAGAUUAUGAAAUAAUGAGCUAGAGAUUGAAUGAAUUGCAUGUUAGUUACCAACAUUAAAAUAAGCAGGUGGUAUGCAUUCUUCAAAAAUGGGGAGCCUCCUUGAGCAAGUUGGUGAAAAGUGACUGCAACAAUAUUGAAAGAAGUGGAGGGCCUCAGAUUGUGAAGAAGAGGAAGAGGGGGUUUUGUACUGGUCCCUUUCCACAGCCGGUUCGGGCCAUAAACCUGCAGUGGCAACAUAUUCCACCGCCUGUUCGUGUUACAAAUUAGCGGUGCUAACCAUGAAGAUUCUCACCGCUGGUUUCGGACAAAAACCGGCGUGACGACCUAUCACAGUUUCUUUCUGUGCACAAGAGAGAUGAGGGCCACUAACACAGGCUGCCAUGUGGGCCCAGCUAUGUUAUACCUGAGCAAGUAAAAUAUGCUCGGGUACCUAUGUAAGUAUGUAUAACAUGCGUAUGUACGCACUAGAUAUAUAUUUGCAAAUUGCAACCAUGCGUACGUGCAGGUCACCCUAACUAAUAUGUGAUAAUGGUAUCCAUUAAAAUUAAUGUCGCUGCAGGUCAAGUACGGCAACUAGCGCACAAUCACUCAAUUGCGCGCCAUGGCCUUUACCACAUUACAUUGUUUCUUGUUCUUGCUGAUGUGACCAUGCCAAAAAAAGUCAAAAUCUCAUACUUCACCAUUAUGCUAAUUGCUUCCGCGGCGGAAAACACAGGGUACUCCUGUGCUUUAUUAACUCCGAAGAGAAUAGAUGUCACCUGCAAAAAAAGAAUAGAAUAGAUGUCUGCACUAGCUGACGCAUGAUACGCCUUGGUACGUCGACCGAUCAAUCCGACCGUCUGCUAGUGGUUGUCUUUUGCUACAUAUGGUCUUGUAGCAAAUUUGCAAAACAUCCCACUCCCUCUAUCAACAAUGGCGCCUUCAUCGAAGAAACUCUCUGCAGCUGCGGCCGCGUCCACCGCCGCCAUCCUCCUACUCCGGAUCCUCGUCGUGGCCGCCGUUACGGCGUGCACAUGCACGAGCUAUAUGUUUAUAUACAUAUAACAAGUCGCCGUGCACUCAUGCAGAGAUGGCGUCCAUUGGCGAGGCAAAUACUUGCAGGCACCUGAGCGGCGAGUAUAUAUAGCGGGUUCUGCGUGACUGACCAAAGCUGUGCGCUUAUAUGCCAACAUGAAAGCAGCGACAACACUGGCGGCGCGUGUGAUGACAAUCCGCCUCGUUGCUACUGCAUUACUAACUGCUAGUCCUGAGCAAUAAGAUUAUUGCUGCUGCUUGGGCUCCAAUCCGAUCCGUCCGGCCGUGAUGAUACCAUAAUAAUAAUAAUAAUAAUAAUAAUAAUAAUAAUAAUAAUAAUAAUAAUAAUAAUAAUAAUAAUAAUAAUAAUAAUCCCUUCAUACUUGCUUAAUUAUAACAAUUGCGGUAGUGAUGCUUUUAUGGGGAUCACAUUGCAUCGUGUGAGAAUAAAAUUGCAGGACUCGUGGAUCAAAAUGAAUUUGUUUAUUUUUCUAGAGCACAUGUAUAUGCACUUGAGCUGCUGAAUGAAGUAGUGAUCCCAGAACCCCGCACGUUGUUGCCGGGCAUCAAGCACAUAAAGCUGCAAACAUUCAUAACUUAUAAUUGAAACACAACAGGAAAUAAAUUAAUAUACUGUGAUCUUGAUAAUGGUGCUCUAUUGCAAUUCAGCAUCGCAUGAGCCACACGUUUCUCCAUCUUCUACAUCAAGAGGAGAGAUGAUGAGAGGAGGCUAGUCUACCCUCGAGUAUUUGAAUCCUCGAGUCAAUGUUCAAAUUUUGCAGCUCCAUCUUCCCCUCCUAGUCUCAUGCUCUUGCUAUUUUCUUGAUUUUUAGUGUAAUUUCUUUUUUUAUUUUCGCUUUCCUCUUUUGGGAUGAUAUCUUGAUCAGGUGUCUUGGUGCUAGGACAUGUGAGGGAUAGCCAUGACCAUGGAUCGAUUCAUUCCCCUUAUCAGGUCCCUCAAAAUCUUGUCUUUUCUAAGGGUUUGUCUUUCCUCUUUAUUGAACCAGAGUUUUCCUUUCCUGAGGGAGAACAUCUCCUUCAUGAAUUGAACCAUGUACCCCACGAGCACCAAAUCUUGGCAUGGACCCAAGGAUUCUCUAUGCAAGUCGCAACUCUCCUCUUGGGUUUUGCCUUUUUUCUAGUUUUUUUUGUGAAGAUUCGGCGGGAACAGCUUCGACAUGAGAUAGGAAUUCGGGCGUUUCCCCUAUGUGCAGAACCAAAUUUCCACCUGACAUAAACUAUAAUUACUUUAUUUAUGCCUUAAAUAUUAAAAAGUCUCGUGAAUUUUUUAUUCUUCUAAAUGAGCAGAACCAGAGUGUUACACUUUCCUAGGGCUGAUUGUAUAUACAGUAAAUGUAGCAUUUGUGAAGGUUUGGAACUAUUAUUAUCUGACGAUCCGUGAAAGGGAUGCUUGAAGCAUUGGGAUGCAUCCACUUGAGAUAGUAGCAACGGUAGAAUCAUCUCGGUGUGUCAAGCAAUUGGGUGCGGGGGUUUGCCAUAGUAAACAGGAUAACACAAACAAUUUAUUAUUCCAUAUAUUAAAUAGUACACUCAUUUUUUUUGAGGAAACAGGAGGGGUUUUCCCCUACUGGUUAUAUAUUUCUAAUAAUGAAGCAAGCAUCAGGUACAUGUAAAGCAAGAUCAGGAAACAAAGAAACAAAAAAGAUGAGGAAAACUACAACACUGAUUGUAGCCAUGUUGUCAUUGAUGAUUGCUGCAAUUCCUUGCUCUUAGAAUAAGUAAAGCAAAUUCAUGUCUGAAGCGUCUCUUGACUGAAUUAAGGCUUGGUUGCUCCCCUCUGAAGAUCAAGUCGUUUCUUUCCAUCCAGAUACACCAGCGCAUGAUGAUGAUCACAUAUCCAUAAAGAAGGCCACAUUAUGUUGGAUCCGCAGGGCUGAUAAGAUUGAAUAGGGGUUGCUCUCUGGUAUUUGAAGAUGCAGCACUUCCCAGCUGACCCGCGCAAAGGGACAGUGCAUGAACAAAUGCUCUAGUGUUUCCUCCCCUAUGCCUGAACAAAGCACACAGUCAUAAGAUGGGAGGUCCGUGUUUUUCCUUCGUAGAAUAUUGCGUGUGCUUAGCCUGUCCUUAAGGAGAAGCCAAAAGAAGAUCUUGUGUUUGUGCUGCAAUGAAGAUUUCCACAGCCAGCCAAAAUCCGGAUGCAUGUUUGCACUUUGUCCAAUUAGAUGCCGGUAUACCUUGGUUGAGGAGAAAAUGGGAGAGCCCUAGAUGUAAGUCCAUACAUCCUCAGAAUCAGUAUCAGAAAGAGCCUCAAGGCUUUGAGCCAGGUCAAUAAGCUGGUUGUAAGCUUCCAUAGAGAGGGGAAGGUGAAACAGUUGAUCCAGAUCAGUGGGGCCCUUGCAUUUUGGACAGUAAUGUUCCUGUUCUUAGCAAAUGAAUAUGAUUCAGGGUAACUCUGGCUUGGCACUCUUCCUGCCCAUAUGUCCUGCCACAUUGUGCAGGUACUUCCAUUCCCUAAAUUUGCAGUAGCGACACCUUUGAAGGUAUCUAACAAUUUGAGCAUAUCUUGGUGUGGUUUGGCAAUUUGCCAUUGCUAUAGUAGCAUUCCCAAAUUAAAUGAACCCACAGGAUAUCCACUUUGUUGAAGAUUUUGUGGAAGUUCUUGAGAAAUAGGGCCUUAUUCUGAGUGUUGAGGUUGAGCACCCCUAAUCCAGCUUCUGACUUUGGUAAGCACACUAUUUCCCAAGCAGCUUUCUGUGGAUUUUUGGCAUUUAUAUCUGCACCUCUCCAUAGGCAGUGCUUUCCAUACUUGUCCACUUCUUUGAUCACAGUCUGAUGCAGUAGGAAUGUGCAUAGGAAGAACAUUGGUAGGGACGUGAACACUGAGUUGGGAAAUGGUGAUAAGAAUUCCUCAAUCCUAGGCUUGGUGAGACUAGGGGUAAUCCAAGAUAGGUGAAUGGCAGGGAACCAAUGCCACAACCAAAAGUUUGUGCUAAGUGGGUAAUUCUUGGUGUAUCUACAUUAAUUGGUACCAUCAUUGACUUGCAAUAAUUCACUUUCAAACCAGUGGAGGCAGCAAAGGUGUUGAGUAGGCAUUUCAUGAAGAAGAUUCGCCUUGGGCAGCCCUCCAUGAUAAUGAGUGUGUCAUCCGCAUAUUGAAGGAUUGGGAAGUCCUGACUAUGUUGCAGAGAGAUGGGGGAACUUUAUCAAGUUGAAAUCCUUAGCUCGGUUGAGGAGGGUUUGUAGGAAAUCUGCUGCCAACACAAAAAGCAGCAGGGAUAAAAGGGUCAGCCUGUCUAACCCCAUGCCUGCAAUGUAUAGUUUUCCCUAGCACUCCAUUAAGUAGGACAGAAUAAGUCCCUGAUGUGAAAAUGUCUUACAUCCCAAGAUAGCCAUCUUUCACUGAAACCCUUGUGCUGCAAGAUUUGUAGCAUAGCUUGGUGUUCUAUUUUGUCAAAGGCUUCCUCAAAAUCUAGUUUGUAAAUGACAAUCUCUUUUUUUUUUGACUUAUGGCAUAGAUGAAGAUACUCAAAGGCCCAAGCAAGAUAAUCUGGUAUUGUUCUGGAUUGUAUGAACCCAUGUUGGUUACUGUGAAUUAGCUUCAUAAUAACACUCUGCAAUCUAUUUGAGAGUAGAUUUGUGAUGAUUUUCAUGGAGGUAUUGAGCAGCUAUUUGGGUCUGAACUCUGAGGCUCGUGUAGGAUCAUCCACUUUGGGUAUAAAUGUGAUGUAACAACCAAUAAUACUUUGGAGACAUAAGUUUCCAUAUUGAAAAGCACAUCACAGAUCAUAGAAGUCUUGCUUGAUGAUAGACCAGCAUCUUUUGACAAAAUCAGUGUUGAAGCCAUCUGGGCUAGGAGACUUGUCAUUAGGGAGAUGUAGUACUACCUGGUCGAUUUCUUCAUCUGUGAAUGGAGUGUCCAGGCAUCCUUACUCCUCUGAUUUGACUAGUAGUUGCUCUAGAGGGAAGUGCAUUCUGGAGAAUCAAAAGAGCCUAGUCUUUCCUUGAAGGCUUUCCACAAAAUAUUGGCUUUAGAGUGGUGGUCUGCCUAUGGCAAAUCAUUGCUGUCUAAAAGGGUAGUGAUGAGAUUCUUACUGUGUCUAAUUGUUGCAUUGGCAUGGAAGAAUUUAGUCCCUUCAUCCCCAAAUCUAACACACUUGAUUGUUCCCCUUUGUUUGCAAGAGUGUUUUUCUCCCCAGAGUGUUUUGAAAUUCCACUAUGGCACACAUAGAUCUCUGAGCUCCUCCAAUGUUUCUAAAAGGGACAGGACUAAUUUGACUUUCGCUAUAAUUGAUUUUAGACGGGAGAGCUGAGCCUGCCAUGCCUUGAGCACUCUUGUCAAGUUUUUGAAUUUAGCAUAAAUGUGCUUAGCUUUAUGCUCCUAAAAGGUUGGUAGGGACCAACCAUGUAUGACCACAUCAAAAAAAAGCUCAUGCUAUAUCUAAUAGUUUUCAAAUAUGAAAAUCCUUCCUUUAGGGAUAUCAGUACCAACAUAGGGGACAUGAUGUGAUGUUUCCAUGACUAGUGGAUAGACUAGGGUGGUGGGGAAGCUUAGUGUCCAUGAAUUGGAUGUGAAAAACCAAUCUAGCCUUUCUCAUAAGGGUGGAUCCUGCUUAUUAGUCCAAGUAUAUUUCCAAUCCUGCAAAGGGAGCUCCACCCAUCCUUGUGCACUUAUAACCUCAUUGAACAUGAGCAUCUCCUGCACAUCACCACCCAGUCUAUUUCUGUCAUCUCGGCUACACAUUAUAUUCAAAUAUAUUGAAAUAUAUGAUUUUUUUAUCACACACAUAUAUGAGUAAACCGUGCAGGCAUGCCUAGCUCCAGUACCUAGCUUGAAUCCAUGGCGAUCGAUGUCACACUCAGCUCGCAUUAUUCAAUUGAUGCUAGCCUUCAAUACAUGAAGGCGUAAAAGAUAAAACCAGAUAGCCAAUGUCUGGCGGUGGGGUGGCGAUAAUCCACGUAUUAGGCACCGACCCAGGGUCGUUGUAGAUAAUAACAGGUACUUGGUCUUGUGGGGGUGGUGGUGGGGCCUCAUAUGGAGGGAGCACUGACAAUUCUGACAUCUGGCCUCUCCGUAUAUAUAAUCUAAACUGCUGCGUUCAAAUGAACACCAAUCAGAUUCAGCCAUGAUUCGAGCACCGGACCAGGCAUGUCUAUCUCGGUCACAUACUAUUCUUUCCUGUUAAUUACCAACAAGCACUAAUAAUUGAGCAACACAGACAUGAUCAAGAGAAACAUGAUGUUUUGUUUUAUAAAUAAUGCCAUAAUCUCUGUCAUUAAGUUGACACUGAGAUGGACACCAUGCUCUAUGUUGGUGAUGUGACCAAGAGGUAAUCAUAACAAUUAAGAUUAGAGGCCCAAAAUAUAUUGAUCCAUGAGUGAUUAGAAUAUGUAACACCCAAAAUUCCAUCAUGAAAAUAAUGUAAGCAACUCGGUCUAGUUUUUCGUGCUCUAAGGACUAAAUAAAGUAUUUUAAAUAAAUUACGAUCUUUAAUAAAUUAAAGAGCACUCGAAUUUAAUUUUAGAGGCGACAAGUGUUUGAUAAGUUUUCAUCUUUUGUUUUGUUUUUGUUUCAAGUGUUGUUUGCAAAAGUUUCAAAAUUUAUAAACCUUUUCUCCUCCAAUCCAAUCUGCGGGCUCAAUCUUCUUUCCCUCUCUAUUUGGGCCCAAACCUUCUCCUUCUCCCUCUCCCCUUCCUUUUUCAGCCGGCCCACCUCCCUCCUUUCUCUCCUUGCACUGGCCCAAGAAACUCCCCCACCAGCCGGCCCAUUUUCUUUUUUUCCCCCUUUUCUCCUUGCGCCGGCCCAGCUCCCUUUUCCUUUUUCUUUGGGCCGCCACCUUUCUCUCCUUUCGUCCACCAGAUGGCCCAAACUGGCCCAACCGACCAACUCUUCCAUCUCCCACCUUCGGUUAACUCCAGGGACGCACGCACGGGUGCCGUGCCCGCCCGUGCGCCGCCGGCCCCCCGGCCCCCUCACCUCCCGGUGUCCCUUGGCCUCCCGAGCCCCUCCACGACCUCGCGACGUCUCCCCUCCCCCACUCCCGGCCUCAAACCGUCGCCCCAUCCUUUCCUCUCCCCGGAAACGGCCACGCAAAGCUUCAAAGCCAUUAAUGGCCGGCCGACCUUCGAUCUCUCCCGGGAGCCCCUUCCGCUUCUCCCCGGGGCCUAUAAAGGUCACCAUCGACCUCGCCCAGAGUUUCUCUUUCCGUUUUGCUACUCACCCGCCUCUCUCUCGCACCGCCGCGCCGCCGCCCAAGCCACACCGCCGCCCGUACUGUCGCCGGUGAAGUUUCUGUUUUUCUCCGGUGAGAGCUCUCUCCUUCCUUUCCCUCCCUCUCUCCCUCCUCUCCCCCACCGAGGCGCCGCCGCCCGUGCGCCGGCAAGGCCUCUGCCCACACCGGCGAGACCCCCUCCCCGUCGGCCAUGCCUCUGUGUGCUUGGUUGCCUGUUGGAGGAAGAAGAUGGAGUUUUUGCGAUCUAGUCCCUGAACUCUUUGUUCUUCCUUUUAUUUAAUUCUUGUGUCUUGUAAAUUUUCCAAAGAAGUCCCUAAAGUUCCUGUAUUCUUUUAUUUAAACCCGAGCCAUGUCAUUUUGUAGAUCUAACCCUAAGUUUCUCUGUUUUUGCAUGUUCUGUUCAGUAUAUCUUUCUAAAAUUCCAUGCUAGCCCCUGAAGUAUAUAGUUAAUUCUGUUUUAGCCCCUGAAAAUUGUUUAUCUCAUAUCUUCUUCGUUUUAAAUCCGAUUUCAGCGAUUCUUGCGCUCACGCGAUCGGCUCUGCAUGAACGUCAGAUUUAGGAGUUUGUUGUAAGCCUUUGCAUAUGCUUGUUGUACUGUUUUAAUCAUUCUUUGUUUGUUUUCCUUGUGUGAUCGUGUAUACGACAUGACGUUGGCGGAGGAGCAAGUCCAAGAGCAGCCACCGUUCGAAGAAGAGUACUCCCAGUUUGCCGAGGAAGGAAAGUGGCCUUCUCCCCCUGCAUGUUCUUUUUGUCCCAAUAAUAUCAUGAUUAAGCACUUUACUUAUUUCUUGUAUGUGCAUAAGUUUGACGGGAAUCCCUAUUAAGGACUUACCUAGUUUUAAUCCUUAUUCCUUGAAAACCUGUUUAAUCAUGUUGGGUAGACUUGCUAGUCGCUUAAAUUGGGUUGGUAAUGUGCUAAUCAUGAAACAUGUUAAUCAUGCUUUAUUUAUGUUGCUAUACAUGUUUAAUUACAAGAACACUUGAUUUAAUCGGAACAUGGAGAACCACCCAAGAAAACAGUACAACCACAACAUCAUAUGGCUCUGAUCUUAGCCGAAUAAUUAGGCAUGCAGUUAGCUGGUGGCUUUACCGAAAGGGCAAGGAGGGGGAAGGUGUUGGGUGCACGAUCCGGAGCAGUAGCCUUCGCUAAGGUGCUGUCUCAUUAACGGGUUGUGGUCCGCAUCGCUAUUGAAACUCUAGCGGGCUACCAGUUAUCUGCGUGUCUUUGUAAAGGCUUCGUAGUGGACCCCCAGCCACUCACCAAAGGAAGUGUUUAAGGGCUUUGCAAACCCGGGCGACACGGGGGAACCACGAGUUGUGGGUAAAGUGUACAACCUCUGCAGAGUGAAAACUGAUAUAUCAGCCGUGCUCACGGUUAGGAGCGGCUUGGACCCUCACAUGAUAAUUGAACUUAAAGAUGAGAUUAAUCUGUGUUACCUUUACCUUUGGGUUAUGUUAAUGUUAUAUGCUUAAUUGGGUUGGUAUAAACUUACAUCUUGUAAUUAGGUGCUGCUAAUAAAAAUUUGACCAAUUAAAACGCUAACCGCUUAAAGCCUUGAGCCAUUCCUUGUGAGCCUUGCAUGUUUCCCCCACCUGCUGAGUACCAACCAUAAGUGUACUCACCCUUGCCCAAACGCUGUUCAGAAGCUUGUGACGACCGGGAGUUCUUCGACGACUUCGAGGAGUUCUAGGCAGGCGGUUCACCAGUCAAGCCUGUGGAGAAGCUACGCUGUGUGUGUGCGUGUUAAGUUAUCGGUGAACGAUUAAAGACCUUCGUGUCUAUCAUGCUGAGUGUAAUAAAGUUCCUAUUGGUUUAUGUACGUUUUUGAGCAUUGUCUUUGAUGUAUUCACUGAUGACGACGUCAACAUAUGUGUGAGAACGGAUCCUGACACACAUAUGCGAUGCAUUCGGUUUUAUCCAGAAAUCGGGUGUGACAGAAGUGGUACAGAGCUGUGUUGACUGUAGGACGCAAGCCUAGAUAGAAAUGGACGUCAAUAAGGACUCAUUUUCUAGCAAGCCAUAUCUGCUCUCAAAAUGUCUUAAUUCCUCAUAAAAAUCUAUUUUAUUUUCAUUCUUUGUUAAAAUUUGUUCAUUUUUGUUUUAUUCUGAGUAUCUGUUCUUUCUUUUGUCAGAUGGCCAGGACCAGGUUGACCGCUCGCAAAAGCACUGCAGGAUACCAGGCUCGCAUUGCCCCUGCUCAGCCAGCUACUCCGGUUCAGCCUGUGGAGGAGGUUGAAGAGGAUCCGGAGGAGGUUUACUUCUACGUCGAGAUGGAGGAUGGCAGUGUCAUGGAGGUUGACUCGGAUGGGAAUCUGGUGAUCCCGACAGCAUCACCAGCUGCCCCAGCUUCGGAUGCUCCUACACCAGCUAUUUCUGCAUCAGAUGCUUCAGCACCAGCUGAUCUCGCUCCAGCACCUGCUGCUGAUGGUGGAGACCCGGACGACUCAGGGGAUGAUAGCGAUGGUGAAGAAGAUGAUGAUGAAGACGAUGAAGAUUACAACGAUGACGGCAGCAACAACGACAAUACCAACAGCCAGGGUGACAACAAUGGUGGAGAUGAAGAUGGUGGACAGCAGGAUGUGACACCGGUUUGUGAUUACCAGACUUCAGAUGAUGAGUCUGGAUACUUUCCCACACUGCUCCGGGAAGUACUAGAGACUCUGGGAAACUCUGGGAAACUCUGUGAAGCCCCUCUACGUCACUCACCAUAUCACCCACGCCACCAUGGAUGACUACUACUCCACUCAGGUCCACAUCAGGGAGCGUUUGGCGACUUCCAAAGGCUUGAGGACUUACCUGGCGCAUGACUCCACUACGCCUCACGCCACCUACGCUGCAGCCGUCAGCGACGCCACCAGGAGAGCUCUGUCAGCCCUCUGCUUCACUCACCGCGAGGAGUUGAGCACCACCGUCUACCGACACCUUCCUCGCCGAGUCAGUGGUACUGAGGACACAGUUGUACCGUUGGGAGAAGCCGGAGAAAACCGCAUCAACGUCCUUGCUCGAGUCACCGCUGCUCUCAACACCGACCUCGACGGAGCUACAGCAAAGCUUGCCAAGACACAUGAGGAGUUGCAGGACGCUCACGCUAGGAUCGCACAGCUUGAGGCAUAGCUUGCAGGACAGGAGCCAUCUGAGGAGGCAGCCGAGCCCUACUACCCCACUAUUUCACCACCCCGCAAGAGGCUUCGCUAUGGCACGUUUGGUUCUGUCACCGGUCUUCUAGACUAGGUUUUUCCUUCUUAUAGGAUGCCUACCAGUGUCUUUCGAUAGAAUCGUUCUUGCGAGGACGUGCGAUGUAUUAAUGUUUGUUGGUUGAAAACAUGCUUGAUUUGGGUCUUUGUAAUGUCUGGGAUGUUUUUGUGGAGUGAUGGCCACAACUGCAUCAAUUAAUAAAAUAAAGUUAAUAGCUUUGGGUCUCAAUCUUGGUUCGUUGUUCCUUUUACCUGCCUUAUCAAAUCAUCAUUCUUAUACAAGAUUUAUUCCUCUAACACUCAGAUGGUAAACACCAGGUCAGGAGGAGGACAAGAUAUUCCAAGUACGAGGCGUGCUCACGUGGUUAACCAACAGAAUCAAGCACCACCCCCACCGCCUUCAACAAUGGAACCAUUUUUGGCUGCCCAGAUGCAACUGCUCCAAAACCUCACUACAGCUGUUCAGAACCUACAAGCUCAACAGAAUCAGCAACCACCCCAAGCACCUCAGGCACCAAGGGACAAACACAGGGAAUUCAGGAGUCACCACCCCCUACCUACUCACACUCGGUGGAUCCGUUGGACGCCGAUGACUGGCUGAAGGUCAUUAACAAGAAGCUGGAUAUUACUCAGUGCAAUGACCGUGAGAAAGUCUUGUACACUGCGGGACGUUUGGAAGGAGCCGCAGCUGACUGGUGGGAUGCUUACACUACUGCCCACGCCAAUGCCAAUGCAAUUACUUGGGAAGAAUUCAGAAAUAGUUUUUGCACACACCACAUUCCAGCUGGUGUGAUGAAGCUCAAGCAGAAGGAAUUUCUAGCUUUAAAGCAAGGCAAUAUGACAUUUAGCGAGUAUCGGGACAAGUUCACACAGCUGUCUCGUUACGCGCCCAACGAGGUGGACAAAGAUGAGAAGAGACAGGAACGUUUCCUGGAUGGUCUGAUAGGGCCACUCAAUUAUCAGCUGCAGAGUCACACAUUUCCUAACUUCCAAACUUUGUUGGACAAAGCCAUUGGUUUGGAAAGUAAAUGUAAAGAGCUCGGGGAACAAAAGAGGAAAUUUCAGUCUCAAGGCCAAUCUAGUAGCAACACCCAUCCCCGCUUCAACUCACCGCAGGGAUCCCAGUUCCGCUCAGGAGGACAGGGUGGGAGUUAUCAACAGAAUCAACAGUUUCAACGCACAGCUCAACCGCCGCAACGUUUCAAUCAACAAGCCCAGCGCAACUCAAAUUCUCAGCACAACCGGACCAACAAUGCCACAGGAACACUAGCAUGCACUAAUCAAGUAACUCCAGUUCGACCCAAUGGGUGCUUCAAGUGUGGUGAGGUCGGACAUUACGCCAACGCCUGUCCCAAGAACAACACGCAGAUCUCUCAGAAGACUAAUGAUUAGAAGUCACAGCAGCAGUCGCAAGCACGCAAUGGAAAUCAAAAUUCUCAGGGCAACAAAGGCCAACAAAAUUUCAUGCGUGGUAGGGUGAACCACGUGACAGCUGAGACAGCCCAGGAAGCUCCAGAUGUUGUUUUCGGUAUGUUCCUCGUCAAUUCUGAACCUGCAUCAGUUUUAUUUGACUCUGGAGCAACUCAUUCCUUUAUAACUGAUCAAUUCGUGGUAAAGCAUAAUAUACCUAAGCAUUCUAUGAAGAAAACCUUGCUAGUUAGUUCACCAGGAGGUUAUAUGGAAACUAGAAAAAUAUGCCCACGAGUCAAUCUGAAAAUCAUGGGAAUAGAUUUCCUAGCUAACCUAGUGGUUCUGAAGUCCAAUGGUGUUGAUGUAAUUCUUGGAAUGGACUGGUUAAAAGGAUGUGAUGGAAUUAUUCUGUGUGCUAAGAGGUCAGUGCUGUUAACUAGCCCUCAAGGAGAUAGAAUUGAGUUUACAGCCACCGCCCCAUCAGAAGAGAAGUGUUUAGUGAAUCAGAUAAAAGGAAAGCCUUUGGAAGAUAUCAAGGUUGCAAGUGAAUACCCUGACGUCUUUCCUGAAGAUUUACCAGGUAUGCCACCUGACCGAGAUAUUGAGUUCUCUAUUGGUCUUUUACUCGGCACAGCACCCAUAUCUAAAAGAUCUUAUAGAAUGGAUGUUAAAGACUUGGUUGAGUUAAAGAAACAAAUAGAAGAAUUAGAAAGUAAAUGGUAUAUCCGACCUAGCUCUUCGCCUUGGGGAGCACCCGUACUUUUUGUUGAUAAAAAGGAUGGCACCAGAAGAAUGUGCGUGGAUUACAGAGCUUUUAAUGAUGUGACCAUUAAAAAUAAGUAUCCACUCCCUAGGAUUGAAGAUUUGUUUGAUCAGAUGAGAGGUGCAAAAGUAUUUUCCAAAAUCGAUCUGUGAUCAAGUUAUCACCAGUUGAAGAUCCGAGCAGAAGACAUUCCCAAGACAACGUUUACAUCCAGAUACGGCCUAUAUGAGUAUACCGUAAUGUCAUUUGGAUUGACGAAUGCGCCAGCAUACUUCAUGUACUUGAUGAACAAGGUGUUUAUGGAGUACCUAGACAAGUUUUUGGUAGUGUUCAUCGAUGAUAUCUUGGUAUUUUCUCGAAAUGAAGAAGAGCAUGAAGAGCACUUAAGAUUAGUGUUACAGAAGCUUCGGGAGAAUCAACUAUAUGCCAAGUUGAGUAAGUGUGAGUUUUGGUUAAAGGAAGUUUCCUUUCUUGGACAUGUUAUCACCGACGGAGGAAUCACAGUAGACCCAAACAAAGUUCAAGAUGCGCUGAAUUGGAAUCCACCCAAGAAUGUGUCCGAAAUCAGAAGUUUUCUUGGAUUAGCAGGUUAUUACCGCAGAUUUAUUGAAGGUUUCUCAAAAAUUGUCAAACCUCUCACGUCAUUGUUAGAAAAGGGAAAAGAGUUUAAAUGGGAUGACAAGUGCCAAGCAAGUUUUGAAGAACUGAAGGAGAAAUUGACUACAGCUCCUGUACUGAUAAUGCCGGAUAUACACAAAGGCUUCGAUGUUUAUUGUGAUGCUUCGCGUCUAGGACUUGGAUGUGUAUUGAUGCAAGAAGGUAGAGUAGUGGCUUAUGCCUCAAGACAAUUGAGAAAGCACGAGCAAAAUUAUCCGACUCAUGACUUGGAAUUAGCUGUCGUUGUGCAUGCAUUAAAAAUUUGGAGACAUUACAUGAUCGGGAACAAGUGUCAGAUCUUCACCGACCACAAAAGCCUAAAGUACAUCUUCACUCAGAGAGAUCUUAAUCUAAGGCAGCGUAGAUGGUUAGAGUUGAUCAAGGACUAUGACUUGGAUAUUCAGUAUCAUCCCGGCAAAGCAAAUGUCGUGGCAGACGCUUUAAGUCGAAAAGGUCAAGCUAACAUGACUAUAGCACGGUUGAUAUCUCAAGAGUUAUGUUGGGAAAUGGAGCGACUCAACUUAGGAAUCGUUGCACAUACUGAAGCCGUGGCUAUGGAAAUUGAGCCUACACUGGAACAAGAGAUAAGAAAAGGGCAAUUGACAGAUACUAAAAUCAAGGAAAUCAAGACUCUAAUUGGGUUAGGAAAAGCUCCAGAUUUCACUGAAGAUGAUCAAGGAACUAUUUGGUUCAGGAAAAGGAUCUGUGUACCGGAGAUCGACCACCUUCGUGAACGUGUAUUGAAGGAAGCACACGAUUCAACUUAUUCCAUACACCCUGGUAGUACUAAGAUGUAUCAGGAUUUGAAGGAGAAAUAUUGGUGGUAUGGUUUAAAAAGGGAUGUAGCAACCCACGUUGCUUUGUGUGAUGUAUGUCAGAGAGUAAAAGCAGAGCACCAAAGACCAUUGGAAAUGGGAAGAGAUCGGAAUUGAUUUCAUUGUUGGGUUACCUCGCACUCGCGAUGGUUAUGAUUCUAUAUGGGUUGUUGUGGAUAGACUGACUAAAGUUGCUCAUUUCAUACCCGUUAAAACAACCUAUAAUGGAGCUAAGUUAGCGGAGUUGUAUAUGUCAAGGAUUGUAUGUUUACAUGGUGUUCCGAAGAAAAUAGUAUCUGAUCGAGGUACUCAAUUCACAUCACGUUUCGGCAGAAGUUGCAUGAAUCAAUGGAUACAAAGCUUAAUUUCAGUUCCGCAUAUCAUCCGCAAACAGACAGUCAAACUGAGAGAAUCAAUCAAAUCUUAGAGGAUAUGUUAAGAGCUUGUGCUUUAAAGCAUGGAGGUAGUUGGGAUAAGAGUUUGUUGUAUGCAGAAUUCUCUUAUAACAACAGUGAUCAAGCCAGUCUUAAGAUGGCCCCGUUCGAAGCGUUAUACGGAAGAAAGUGUAGAACGCCAUUAUACUGGAGUCAGACAGGAGAAAGUCAGGUUUUUGGACCAGAAAUUCUUAAAGAAGCUGAAAGACAAGUUCAAAUAAUUCGAGAUAAUCUCAAGACUGCACAGUUGCGACAAAAGAGUUAUGCUGAUACUCGGAGAAGGGAACUGACGUUUGAGGUCGAGAUUACGUGUAUCUUAAGGUAUCGCCUAUGAGAGGUCUUCGACGAUUCAAGGUUAAAGGGAAACUAUCACCCCGAUACAUUGGUCCGUUUCAAAUUCUGGAAAUAAAAGGAGAAGUGGCAUAUCAGUUAGACCUACCUGCUCAAUUAUCGGAUGUUCAUGAUGUGUUUCAUGUUUCUCAGUUAAAGAAGUGUCUUAGAGUACCCGAAGAAUAGCUACCACUAGAAGAUAUUAAUGUGAAGGAUGAUUUGACCUACUCGGAGUAUCCUGUCAAGAUAUUGGAAACAUCUCAGAGAGUCACUCGAAGUAAAGUGAUCAAAAUGUGCAAAGUAUAGUGGAGUCACCACUCCGAAGAUGAGGCCACCUGGGAAAGAGAAGACGAGCUUAUUGAAGAGUUUCCCCAGUUAUUUUCCAAUCUCUCCGAAUCUCGAGGACGAGAUUCUCUUUAAGGGGGGUAGGAUUUGUAACACCCAAAAUUCCAUCGUGAAAAUAAUGUAAGCAACUCGGUCUAGUUUUUCAUGCUCUAAGGACUAAAUAAAGCAUUUUAAAUAAAUUACGAUCUUUAAUAAAUUAAAGAGCACUCGAAUUUAAUUUUAGAGGCGACAAGUGUUUGAUAAGUUUUCAUCUUUUGUUUUGUUUUUGUUUCAAGUGUUGUUUGCAAAAGUUUCAAAAUUUAUAAACCUUUUCUCCUCCAAUCCAAUAUGCGGGAUCAAUCUUCUUUCCCUCUCUAUUUGGGUCCAAACCUUCUCCCUUUCCCCUUCCUUUUUCAGCCGGCCCACCUCCCUCCUUUCUCUCCUUGCGCUAGCCCAAGAAACUCCCCCACCAGCCGGCCCAUUUUCUUUUUUUCCCACUUUUCUCCUUGUGCCGGCCCAGCUCCCUUUUUCUUUUUCUUUGGGCCGCCACCUCUCUCUCCUUUCCUCCACCAAAUGGCCCAAACUGGCCCAACCAUCCAGCUCUUCCAUCUUCCACCUUCGGUUGCCUCCAGGGACGCACGCACGGGUGCCGUGCCCUCCCGUGCGCCGCCGGCCCCCCGCCCCCUCGCCUCCCGGCGUCCCUCGGCCUCCCGAGCCCCUCCACGACCUCGCGACGUCUCCCCUCCCCCACUCCCGGCCUCAAACCGUCGCCCCAUCCUUUCCUCUCCCCGGAAACAGCCGCGCGAAGCUUCAAAGCCAUUAAUGGCCGGCCGACCUUCGAUCUCUCCCGGGAGCCCCUUCCGCUCCUCCCCGGGGCCUAUAAAGGUCACCAUCGACCUCGCCCAGAGUUUCUCUUUCUGUUUUGCUACUCACCCACCUCUCUCUCGCACCGCCCCGCCACCGCCCAAGCCACGCCGCCGCCCGUACUGUCACCGGUGAAGUUUCUGUUCUUCUCCGGUGAGAGCUCUCUCCUUCCUUUCCCUCCCUCUCUCCCUCCUCUCCCCCACCGAGGUGCCGCCGCCGGUGAGGCCUCCGCCCACGCCGGCGAGACCCCCUCCUCGUCGGCCAUGCCUCUGUGUGCUUGGUUGCCUGUUGGAGGAAGAAGAUGGAGUUUUUGCGAUCUAGUCCCUGAACUCUCUGUUAUUCCUUUUUAUUUAAUUCUUGUGUCUUGUAAAUUUUCCAAAGAAGUCCCUGAAGUUCCUGUAUUCUUUUAUUUUAACCCGAGCCAUGUCAUUUUGUAGAUCUAACCCUAAGUUUCUCUAUUUUUGCAUGUUCUGUUCAGUAUAUCUUUCUAAAAUUCCAUACUAGCCCCUGAAGUAUAUAGUUAAUUCUGUUUUAGCCCCUUAAACUUGUUUAUCUCAUAUCUUCUUCGUUUGAAAUCCGAUUUACGUGAUUCUCGCACUCACGCGAUCGUCUCUGCAUGAACGUUAGAUUUAGGAGUUUGUUGUAAGCCUUUGCAUAUGUUUGUUGUACUGUUUUAAUCAUUCUUUGUUUGUUUGCCUUGUGUGAUCGUGUAGACGACGUGACGUUGGCGGAGGAGCAAGUCCAAGAGCAGCCACCGUUCGAAGAAGAGUACUCCCAGUUUGCCGAGGAAGGCAAGUGGCCUUCUUGUCCUGCAUGUUCUUUUUGUCCCAAUAAUAUCAUGAUUAAGCACUUUACUUAUUUCUUGUAUGUGCAUAAGUUUGACAGGAAUGCCUAUUAAGGACUUACCUAGUUUUAAUCCUUAUUCCUUGAAAACCUAUUUAAUCAUGUUGGGUAGACUUGCUAGUCGCUUAAAUUGGGUUGGUAAUGUGCUAAUCAUGAAACAUGUUAAUCAUGCUUUAUUUAUGUUGCUAUACAUGUUUAAUUACAAGAAUAGUUGAUUUAAUCGGAACAUGGAGAACCACCCGAGAAAAUAGUACAACCACAACAUCAUAUGGCUCUGAUCUUAGCUGAAUAUUUAGGCAUGUAGUUAGCUGGUGGCUUUACCGAAAGGGAAAGGAGGGGGCAGGUGUUGGGUGCACGAUCCAGAGCAGUAGCCUUCGCUAAGGUGCUGUCUCAUUAACGGGUUGUGGUCCGCAUCGCUACUGAAACUCUAGCGGGCUACCAGUUAUCUGCGUGUCUUUGUAAAGGAUUCGUAGUGGACCCCCAGCCACUCACCAAAGGAAGUGUUUAAGGGCUUUACAAACCCGGGCGACACGGGGGAACCACGAGUUGUGGGUAAAGUGUACAACCUCUGCAGAGUGUAAACUAAUAUAUCAGCCGUGCUCACGGUUAGGAGCGGCUUGGACCAUCACAUGAUAAUUGAACUUAAAGAUGAGAUUAAUCUGUGUUACCUUUACCUUUGGGUUAUGUUAAUGUUAUAUGCUUAAUUGGGUUGGUAUAAACUUACAUCUAGUAAUUAGGUGCUGCUAAUAAAAAUUUGACCAAUUAAAACGCUAACCGCUUAAAGCCUUGAGCCAUUCCUUGUGAGCCUUGCAUGUUUCCCCCACCUGCUGAGUACCAACCAUAAGUGUACUCACCCUUGCCCAAACGCUGUUCAGAAGCUUGUGACGACGGGGAGUUCUUCGACGACUUCGAGGAGUUCUAGGCAGGCGGUUCACCAAUCAAGCCUGUGGAAAAGCUACGCUGUGUGUGUGCGUGUUAAGUUAUCGGUGAACGAUUAAAGACCUUCGUGUCUAUCACGCUAAGUGUAAUAAAUUUCCUACUGGUUUAUGUACGUUUUUAAGCACUGUCUUUGAUGUAUUCACUGAUGACGUCAACAUAUGUGUGAGAAUGGAUCCUGGCACACAUAUGCGAUGCAUUCGGUUUUAUCCAGAAACCGGGUGUGACAGAAUACUAAUGGGUCUACAAGUUGAAAGUCCAUUAGCACGCUCUAUAAAUAUGUGGAGGAGGGGCUUGGUGCGACACACCACCAUGUCACAAACCCUAGCAGCCACCUCCACUCGGCCAAAACCCUGAAACCCUAGCCAGGCGCACAGUGCUAGCACACCAACGCACGGCGUUCCACUUCAUAGAUGUGGACUCCAUGGAGGCAUUGCUGCUGUAUUUGCUAUGCUGAUCAGUUACGGCAGGCGCCAGGUUGAUGCUAGGAUGAGGACGAGAAGAUUGGUUUGUGGGAUGAAAUCGACUACUUCCUCUACACCGAAGCGCGACUACAUUAGACCAAGCCUGCUCCAACUCUUCUUCCACUAUGCUGCACGUCUAGUGGUAAUGAUCUAUGACCUCCUACUCGUAAGUUUCUUGGGUGAACGUGGUAGAUCUGUAAUUGUUAUAGCUAGUGUAGCCUACCCAUUUUAUUUUAGUGGUAUCAGAGCUAUCUUGAGUAGUUUUUGGUCUAGAUCAUUAAUAUAUAGGUGAUAUGUUGUUGUAGUAGAUCAAAUCUAUUACUGUAUGCACGACUUGAUUAGAUUAAUUGGUAAUAAGGGGUUGGAAAGGUGCACUACUAGAAAACCUCCUUGUUGCUACGUUGUGGUAGUAAUGCCGGUUAAAAGUGUCUCUACAUCGGAACGUAAUGAUGCUUUUUGACAUGAUUUUGAUAACGAGUCAAAUUGACACACUGUUUGACACAAUUCAAUGUUAGUAGAUGUAUAAAGACACUUUUUAGCACACUAUUGAAGUCGUCUCAUAAUGACACGGAGUUAGACAUGCUUUUAACCGUCAGUAACCUCAAGACACGUUAUAAAGCAUAUUAGGUAGUCGUGUAUAGCCACCUAAACAUGUUUUUUGAUAUGAUACUAAAAACAUAUCAAAUUGAUACAAAUUUAGAUAUACUUUUAAUUGUGCAUAGUAUCUAGACACAUCGUAGGAUUUGAAUUCUGGCCUAGAUGUAGGAGCAUCCAUUGCUCAACCACACAGCACUACAAUAGGACUUUUGUUUGUAUGAAGUAUUUUCUGCUUCUAUAAUAUGAACCGUUCCGAGCACAAAGGGUUUCAAACUUCCAAUCAAUAGGAAAGCUAAAAAGGCACACCCCAUCUACCUCGCUCUAGCUUUGCUACUCACCUGCACGUUGAGUACAGUUAGAAACUAUACAAAUUAAUUAUUAGUUCUUGACACAGCAAAAUUACUACAGUAGCACAAUGGUAUUGUUGCAGUGCUUGUGUUGUGACUUAUGAGAGGUCACCGGUUCAAUUCCAUGGUGCAGUAAUAAGUUUUUUUAUUUCCCAGUUCUGGCCUGAAAUAUCAAUUCCAAUACGUCAUUUUUCUAAGAAUAUUUAAAAAAUAUUUUUAAAAGUGUCCAUGCUAACAAAUGAAAUCAUUAGCUUGGUACCUGAAAAACACAUAUUAAAUUUUUUUCCUUGUGUAGAAAUAAAAAUGUUAUCUUGAUACAUGACAAUUGAAAUUUUAAUCCAUUCUUAGAAAUAAAGCACCAUGAUUCUUGUUAUGUAUCUUUCUAGUCCUCAUCUUCCAAAUGAGUGUGUCACUUGCAAGGCCAUUGUAACCACCGUCACUUGCUCUAUCGAAUUUGAUCAUCCGAGUUGCCCUAUCGGUGAAGGCUCGUGACAUUUGCUAAUCUUGUCAUGUUGACCAUCCAAUAUGUACCACAUAUUCUUGUCAUUUUAACGUAUUUUAAAAAUACCCACGCAUACAAAUAAAAUCAUUUACUCUAUGCAUGAUAAUCAUGUAUUUAAAUGUUUUCCCAUGUGUAGAAAUAAAAUUAUUAGCUCAGUACAUGAUAAAUGAAAUUUUAACGCAUUCUUAGAAAUAAAGCACCAUCGAUCAUUGUUGUGUAUCUUUCUUGUCCUCUUUCUUCCAAAUAAGUGCGUUACAUGGAAAGCCAUUAUCAACAACGAGCCCAAACGUAGCACCUCAUUUUCUCUAUCAACGUUGAUCAUCCGAGUUGCCCAAUCAAUAAUGGCUUGUGAUUUUUUUAAUCUUAUCGUGUUGACUAUCCAACCUGUACCACAGAUUCUUGCUUUACAUAGUGAUGAUUUGAAUCCUACAAUUUUAAUUAGCCAUUUGCAAGACUAUGUAAAAGACAUUUAAAAAAGUACCCAUGCUUGUAAAUCAAGUCAUUAGCUUGGUGUAUGACAAUCAUAUGUUGCAACGUUUUCCCUUGUGUAUAAAAAAAUCAUUACCUCGGUACAUGACAAAUAAAAUUUGUAGGUUCAUGUCAAUUCAACUCUAACAUUCCAUAUUUUUACAAGAUGUUUGGAUUUUUCAAAAAUUUGGAUUUCAAAAUUUUUGUAUUGUGGAGUGAAAUUUGCUAAACCAUAAGAGUGUCUUCAGUGCAUCUCUCCCAAAACUCUUAGAAUUAACUUAUAGAUUAAAAUGAAAUGCUAAGGUGUUAUAUGUGCUAGUGUGUAUAUUUGGAGUUCAUUUGGAAUUUUAUUUCGAUUUUAUUGUGAGAUUUGUAUUUGAAUUGGAAUUAAAAUACAAAUCAAACUAGAGAAGCUAACUAAACUUAACCUAGGCACAAGCCAACCCAUCUAACCUCACAAGCCCACGUACUAACAACCCAAUCAAAGGCUGGAGUCAAAACCGGAACUUUCGAUUUUCCAAAACUGGAACAUCUGGUUUUCUGCUAGACAACCUCCAUACCGCAAGCGCUGCCCGCCUAGCCCCACAUGUUAGCCGCCCACACCACUUUUCCUCUUUAUUCCCCACAACGCUCACGCGCGCGCGCUUGUGCCGCGCACGAUGCCAGCUCGCCCGCGCCACCUUUUGCGCUGGCGCCUCCGGAUGCUUGCCAUGCCGCCCAACCGCAUACCCUGCUGCCCUAUUCCGCCCAACAACCCUAUCCGCAUGUGGGGUUUUCCCUUUCACCCGCCGUUGUUUGGAGAAGAAGAGAAGGGAGGAGGGGGUGCUAAAGAUGAGGAGAAGACGUCGGAGGAGGAGAAGACCGCUGCUGCCCCACCAGAACGCCCAGCCCAAGCCGCCUCAUCACUGCUUCACCUCACCAAGUGCCACCAAUCCCUCAUCUGUAAGCCCACCAGGUGAGCCUCACAAGCCCUGCUCUCCUGGGUGAACCGCCGCCGCAUCUGUGACCUGAAUCGCGUGCGUGCUCACGCACGCAGAAAGCCCGUCUCGACCAAACCCUAGGCAAAACCUGAACCUCCGGUUUCCAAACCAGAACUUUCAGAUUCUGCUCUUUUCAACCUGCUGUAGCUCCAGAGACUUAAGGAAAACCCAGUCAAACAAACUUUGAACCCACGAAUGGUGAACCAUAACCUUCCCAGGACCACCCAAAGGACUUCCCAAGAGAUCUCCCCAAGUGGAGACAUCUACCCGUGGAAAACCAAAUCUACCAUCUCCCAAACCGAAACUUCCUGUUUCAAAACCGGAACAUCCACUUUUCCAAAACUGGAAACUUCCUGUUUCAAAAUUGGAACAUCCAAUUUUCCUAAAAACUAGAACUUCCUAUUCCAAACCGGAGCUUCCAGUUUUCCAAAGUCGGAGCCUCUGUUUUUUACCCCAGAAACAAGAAACACCCCUCUACAUCUUAGCCACUGGCCUAAAAUAUUUCUAAAGCUACCUGUGAACCUUAGUGGCAGUUUGCAUCCAGUUUGCAGCUGACGUACGGCCUAUUAACUGCUAACUCCUUUGUUUCUUUGUUACGCCUAUCAAAUCAAAAUACCGGAAAAUGUUUUCAACUUCAAUAAUUCACUACCAAUUCAUUAUAAUUCUAAAAAUUAUGAAACCAGUUUCAUAAAUUUCUCUAAAAUCAUGAAGCAUGCGUUAGACUAGGCUUUGUUCUUGUUUGGUUCUUCUUUGGAUUUCUUUUGGAGUUACUUUGCAACUAGACUAUCGGUAAUUAUGGUAAUUGCGUAAUUAGGGGCUACUGGAGACUCGGAGAUGAACCUGAAGCCGGAGCCGUUCGAGGACUACUACAAGGAAGAAGACUACUUAGGUUCAUGCCCAUUCGAUUUGAAUACCCAUUAGGCAUUGCUAACUAGUAUGCUAGCGCUUUAUUUCUUCGCUUGAUGAUGAUAAACCUUGCAUAGCCUACCUUAUGCCUUGAAUCCUUGUCGACCUACUACUAUACUAUUGGUAUAUGAUGUGUGUGCGAUGCUUGCAUGUGUAUGGGAUAUUGUGAUUAUGAUUCUUGGGCGUGUGUGGGGUUAAAAGCGGCAAGAGAAGGUGUUUUGGGAUACUUGAUGGGGGUGAGCUUUACAUGACCCGAUCUUUGGAUUGGGGGCUUGGGGUCCGUUCUCGGACAUUCCUGGUUUGAUACUUGUUGUGGGUACACAUUUGAGGAGCAUAGGAGUUGGUGGCGAUACCUAUUAUGGGUGCAGUUGCGGACCACGUUGUGGAUACGCUUUGGGAGUUAGGAGCUCGCCCCGGUCUGAAACUGAGUGGGUUGCCAUGCUUCACAGAAAUUUGUUAAACGUGCACGCCACUCACCAAAUUAUGGGUUUAGGCUCGGGUCGAGACUGGCAAGUGCGGUGCCAUACCUGCUAUAGGAUAGAGUAUUAGUGUAGGGGGGUGGUGCUAACCUUUUGCCCUCUGAUUUGCUUUUGCCAUCGAUUGGCCCCGGUGGGAGUGCUUCACAGUUUCGGGGUGGUCCUCUAUGGGGGAUCGCAUCUGAGCCCGAAUGCAGGAUGGUAUCGUAACUCCCAGGUUCUUCAGGUAGGGUGAUGCUCAGUCGGCUGAUCCCCGGCUAUCUCACUCCGAGAUGGGUCUAGGUGUACACACUCUGCAGAGUUAAAACUAUACGUAUAGCCACGUCCUUGGUCAAGGACAACCCUUUGACAUCACGACUCUCCAUUGUUUCAGGAUAUCUCUACCUACCCCUUUUAGCUACAUAUGAGUGUGGUCAGCCACAAUUGCAGUCGGGGAGAGGAGAAGUUGCUCCCUUUUCCUUUAGGAUCCGGCUAUAGUUGUUUAGAGGCGAAGAGAGGGAGUCUUUGCCUCGACCCUAGUGAUGGAGAUAGGAUGAUGGUGAUAGGGACCCUGGGGUGCCGGGUGUUCCCGAUGUGAUGAGAGAUGGGUUGAUGGAUAUGGAAGUUUAUUCUUUAUGCUUACUGCUCGAUAGGAAACCCGAGCCUAUUCCUUGACUACUUUUGUAUACUAGCAUUAGGCACUUAAAGGUUGCAUACGGAUGGUGACGUGGACCUGUCCCAUUUCUUGGGGACAGUUCAUGAGUGUGUAGGUUUGGUCUUCGAGUGAAAGUCGGAUCACGAAGAAUUCAUGAAGGAAGGGUCACGUUGCUUCGCUUAAGGAUGCCUGUGGUGAAGAUAGGAGAUGAAGACUUGAAGCCCUAGCUACCGCUGCGUAUGAGUUUUACUUGUCGUUUAGCCUAAGGGGCAUGUAUAGUAUUCGUAUUCCGAGUUGAUUCGGAUGUAAAUAUCAAAUAUUGUACUGUGAUUUUGUUGUAUGGAAAUGAUAUUAUGUUGAAAUGAGUUCUGUACGUGAUAGCUACUGAUUCAGAGACUAUCACAAGGGGUACCGGGAGUCGGAUUGUCAGAAAUGAAAAUCCGAUUCGUUUCAUCAACAACAUAUUUGUCAGUAAAAAAAUUGAAAAUUAACAAUUCGGAUAAGCUUUGUUUAUUUUUUUUGCCGCCUUCGGAAAUGCAAAUAUUAUACUAGAAACUUGCAGCCAAGCUAAUUAACUUGCUGCCUUGCCCUAAAAAAAAACUUGCCGCCUAAUGGCCCGCGCAUCGUACGUUUAUUUAGCUAACAAAUCGCGUCGCGCAACCUCCCGCUCCAGGAUAGCUUCCCCCGUCUCCUCCCUUUGCCUCCUCCAUCUCGGCACUGGGGGUUCUCUGUGCCGCACAAGUGCGAACCCUAGGCCCCCAGCGCAAGGAGCAGAUCGAUCACUGCCGGCAAUCCAAACACGAUGUGAUCCAGUCAGUCCGGCGGCCUGAAUCCAGUCGUGCCUGUCUCGUGCCUCCGUGGUGCAAUUCCCACCUAUCAUGAUCCUUUUGUUUUUAUUUUUAUUUUUUUGCGUUGCAGUAGUGUUACCAGUUCACCUAUCACUUAUAGCAUUGACGUAGUAUUGAUAUAUUGCGCUGAAAUCCUGAAACAGAUGAUCCAAUAAUGUUUAGUUCCUAAAUCUAUAAGAGUGUAGAUCCUGAGUAUUCUAGUAGGUCUGAUCUGAAACACAUUCAUUCCUUCGAUUCUCUGAAUAAUGACGUGUUGCUUAAAUGAGAUUUCUGAAACAACUCUUUUUAUUUAUAGAGGUUAGAUUAUACAAUAUUAAUUGAUGCAAGGUUAACUACAUAUAUUUUGCCCAUGAUCUUGUAAGGUAGUUUAGCUUCCCAUGCCCUGUUCUUAAAAGGAAGUUUAGACCUUUGAGUUGCUUUCUGUAGUACACCUGUCAGGUUUGUCCUUUCUCCAACCGGAUCAGGCAUCAUCAAGAUGGAUUUUAGAACAAGCAAUACAGAUAGAUGCCAGUAUUUUUUAAAUAUGACUCUUGAGUUGUUCGCCAUAAGUCGAACACAAUUAUAUGUCAGCUGGACUUGGUUGUGUCUUUGUCUGUGUUUAAAUGGUUAGUUAGCUAAAAAGUGACUAAGUUAAUUUUGCAAUUGCUAGUCCUCUAUUCUUGCUCCAUCCAUUCAUUCCUUCCUGAUCUAACCGCCGUCUAGUUUGGGGAUGUAAAAUGACUUUGUUACAUGAACUGAUUAAGCAUGAUGAAGAUUUCUUUAUCUCUCUUUCUUUAUUUCUUUUUUUUAGUUCUUGCUUUAUCUGAUUUUUAAUUACCAGUAGCCUAAUAUGCUUGUGAUUCCAGGUUUCACUGCUCAAUUCCAUAGCCUACUCUACACAUGUCUGCUUUCAGAUUACUCUUCUUCAAAUAUUCUAAGGAUUCAAAAAAAACUCUUCUGUUCCAUAGAUAGAUACAUAGAUAUCUUAGCUUGGUUCCUAUAUUGUGAUUAAAUACAUCAUGGCUUGGUUCAUAUGUCAUAUUUCUUCUCAGGGGUCCAAGAUCAAGCAGCACCAUCCAGGAAUUUUUGGCUUUGACACUGUACAUUUCUCUUUGGGUUUAGAUAAUAUAGUAAGUAGUGUGCCAUGUUUAGUCAAACAGUGCACGCACUCAAUUUUUAUUGUGCUUGAACUUUGUUUUCUUAUACGCAUAAGAAUUGAACUAAGUAGGUGCAGUAAUGUCAAAUGAACAUGUAAGACUGAAUAAUGGCAUAGUAGUGUCAAAUGAACUAUUAUACAUGCAAUUGAUAUGGCAUAGUAGUCUCAAAUGAACUAUUAUACAUGCAAUUUAAUAGUUUUGGCUUUGACAUCUGAAAUCUGAUACAAUAUUUACAUUAAUAUAGGCCAGGACUACUUACCAUCUGUACUGCUUGGUCACCCUGAUUUGAUAAAAUAUCCAUGUUGCUGUGAUUUGGCCAUCUAUGCUUUGAUCUGUUGGAAUUAUUUAUUCAGAUUUCUGAACAUUUGAUUACUAGUUGUGUCAUGUUUCCUAGUACCUCGUAAAGAUCAGAAGGUCUGAAACUGUAAUCAUCACAAUAUGUGAACCUGAAUGUCAUUACUAGUUGUGCCAUGCCUUGUAAACAUCAGUGGGUCUGAAACUCUGAAACUGUAAUGAGCCUUCUUAUUCUCUGAACUUAUUGGUACUCAUAUGCUCUUCUUACUUGCAGCAGCUUGUGAGCUGGUAUAAUCUAAUUAAACAAAUUUAAAUGGUUCUUCUGUCCCGGUAUGGUGAUAUUUCCUGGAAAUUACCUAUUAGGCUAUUUCUACAAUUAUGCCUAACUGCAUCAGUGUCUUGUAAUUAUUUUCUCCUGCAAGCUUUUGGUCACAAAUCAUAUCUUCUAUCUUACUUGCAUGUCUUAGCAAUUAAAUUAGUAUAUGACAGAUUUAGUUGGAAUUACUUCCUGACAUGGAAUACAAUGCACAUGAACAAGUAGCUGGUACAUAGUUUGAUCAUUUAUCAUGUAAACUUUUGUUCAGAUUUCAUAAAUGGCCAAUGGUUUCUAUCAUAGUGAACCUGUUAUGCACAACUGUACAACUGCCAAUUUGUGCUGGUGCCUUUUGCCUUGUGAGAGAUAAUGCACCAACCUAAAUACUCUGUAAUGCUCUAAAAUCUGAAUGACAGAAUCUGAAAUUUAAUUAAUGUGUGUGUGCGCGCUUUUAGAUUACACUAAACUAUAAAUGAUGAUCUUGGUACCCCACGUGUAUGCAGAAGAAAUCAUGGUAAGACCACUUCGAAGGUUAAGGAACUUGAACUUUGAAGAAGAAGAGAAUGCAGAAUCUAUUGAGAAUGGGCAGGACAACUUAGCAGAGAAUGAGAUUGGGCAUGAUAACUUAGCAGAGAAUGAGAAUGAUGAUGACUUACAGGGUCCACCUAAUGUUGAUGGCUUAUUAGCCCACAUGCCACGCCACCAUCCACGAACCCCAUUAAGAUAAUAUGUAAGUUUCAUGUUUCUUCCUUGCAUAUCCAAAUGCAGUAUCAAAUCAAUCUAUUUCAUAUAUGUAGGGACAAAUGGAGAGGUGAGAUAAGUUUUAGGGGAUUUCAGAGUUUCAAAUCUAGUGGAUUUAGAAGGAGGAAAGGUAAUUGUAGGGACUAAUGAAAAUGGUCCCAAAUGAGAGGUCAGCCUCCAUUCUUAGUUAGUACCUUGGACAGAUAGCAGAAAAAUCAUCAUUAGCUCCUUUACACAUUGAAAGAUGGGACAAUGCUCUGUUCAAUACUCACAAGCAACAAAUAAUCAAGGAUGUGGAGGUAAAAUUAAUCUUACCAGUUCAAGCAAGUACAUCAAUUUUCAUCCAUCUUGUAACAUUUACCUCUACUCUUUAUAGAAACACUUUCAGUUCCCCCACCAAACGCUGAAUCUUAUAAGGGAUCGAGUGCUCAGGACUAUUAACAAUAGGUGGUGGUCCUACAAAUCAAAGUUGAAGAAACAAUAUUUCAAUCAUGAAGAGAGAUCUAUAGAUGAAAUCAUAAACGGGAAACCAAACAAUGUGAAUGAACGUCAAUGGAAAGCUCUUGUUGGAUUUUGGUGCCGAGAACCACAUAAGGUGCCAUCCUUUUGUGUAACAUUUAUAUCUAGUUUGAAAGCAAUAAGUGUAACAGCACUUCAUCACUCUUCUAUCUUUGCACAAAGUAUGUGUGACAAACUCUAGAAUCGCAAAAGAACAGAAGAAUACACACACAUUAGGGAGAAAAAGCCAUGCUAGGCUGAAAAAAGAGAUGGUGAAAUAUAUUCAUCCAAUGCUAUUUAUUAUAUUCACUAUCAUCUAAUUGAGAUUUUAAUGAGCCUCAAGUUACUCUGUUGUGCAGGAAGAUAACCAAAAAAGGAAGGUUCAGAGGCUAGAGUUAUGGGACGCUAGUCAUAAGAAAAAGAAUGGCAGAUAAAGUACCCACAAAGUGGAUGCAAUAAUGGUACAUUUUCUGAUCCUAGGCAUUUAUGUUCAAUCUGAAAUUUUGUUUACCAUUCUAACCUUUGAUUGUUUUUAUUUCUAUAGAAUGCAUCAUAUGAGGAAUUAGAAAAAAGGUAACAGAAUAACAAUGUUAAUCUUUCAGCUCAAGAUUUUAAUGAGACGUUCAAUGAGAUAGUUGCUAAGGAGUUAAAAGCACGUGGAUACUAUGAUGAUAAGUACUGGAGUGAAGUUUGAGUGCUCAAGAUGUAACUUUUGUCACUCAAACUGAGGAAAAAAAAGGUACCAAGAGAAUGUAAAUGCAAUGGAGAAUAAGAUGCAACACAUGGGUGGUUUCAUGAAGCACUGGCUUGGUUUCAUGUUAAAAGUAUUUCAUGAAGCGGAUUUCAUAAAGAAAAUGGUAGCAGAUCUACAUGAUGAUGAAGUAAGCAUCUAUUCGACUUGCCAUAUAUGUUUUUACCUUCAUGUUGUUCAUAACUUGUUUGCUCCCUCAUUUGUAGGAUGCCCAUGUACACGUCUACUCUACUUUUAGCCUCAAGCCAUGCUAUACUUGUAUUCUACUGUACUUAGCCCCCUAUUAGGAUCUAGAAGAAUACAUGAAUAGAGAAAUCUCAGACCUAAAAAUGAAGAAAAAAAUUUGAAUUAUCGCUAGGUAGUGUCAACACGUAGAAGAUCGGAUAAUAUGUGAAGAUAAACAUCUGUUCCUUUUUCAGAAUGGCAACUAGAUCUUUUUUCUCAUUGAUAACAGUCAUUAGAUAUGCUAUUAUGCUCUAAACAUCAAAAUGGUUGAAUUUAUUAUUUUUACAUAUACGUGUCCUUUCAUAUUACAAUGAACUAUAUGUAUGCCUACCACCUGGAAGUAAGCCCUCCCUCUUUGAAUUGUUUAUUUUUUCAAGGAUGGACUUAUAGAACCAGAAAGUCAUACUGAUCACAGCCCUGCACACUCAAUUGGUAAUGUGCACUCUCCCACAAAUGAAGUGCGGGUAAUAGAGUAGAUACUUUAUUUCUAAUGUACAUAGCUACAACAAUAAUAUUUAAGUUUUUACUAAUGUAUUGUGUAAUAUGGUUGAUGAUACUUUGCAACAGGAGACAUCCACCAAAGAUCGUAUGUCUUUACCUAGUGAGCAAACAGUUGCCAAGUUAUGCUUGUGUUGUUCAGAGCAUACUAGUUAAGUAUGGCAUAAUCAAGUAGACACAACCUCAUACACUUAUUUGUAUACCUACCUUGUAAUAUUUCUUUAGUUAACUUUGAGGUAAACUUAGCUACAUUGUGGCUGCAGGAGGCAGAUAUUUAGAGUUCUAUUCAUGAAGAUAAUGGUAAUGCAGCCACUAAUUUCUCACAAGAUCCCAUAUUAAAAAAUAUGGUAUGUCUAAGCUAACAUUGCAAUAUUGUUUAUAAUGAGUGAACUUGCUUUAGUGAUGCUGUAUUUCGACUAAUAUAAUUUCUGCCUAUUCUAGAGGACUCGAAGAGUUAAAGCUCCUAGUUUGAACCAGUUAGAAUCAGAAUGCUUCUAUUCCACUUGUUUCUUCUGUAAUUAAAUUAGUUAAAUGUACAAAACUCUUAUCUUCAUGUUUUGAAAAAUGAUAGAGCCAUUAUCUAGUCUAUCUUCUUUCAGUAAGAAACAAAACAAGAAUUGUGGCCAAAGCGAAGUUAGUGACUACUAAUGGCAAAUGAGAGAUUGGAGGAAGCAUGCUUGGAAAGGAAUACAUUGGGGUUUAUGUUGAAGGUCUUCAAAAAUGUUGACAAUAGAAAUAAAGGAGAUGAGCUAAUACCUGGACCUAUUUUUGGGAUUCAUACACUAGUAGAUGCUAUUGGCUAUACUAUUCCUUGACCCCGUUCACAUGUAAGUUUAUUUUCAAAGAAUAAACCUACAGUUUCAUAAUAUCUUCAAAUUGUAUUAUUCAUCUAACCCCAUGACCCAUUGCAGGUGAAGAAAGCUACAAGUUCAAAUCUGAAACAACCUAGUGAUGCAACUUUUCAAGGGAGAAGGGAAGCAGCGAUGGAGAGAGGCGCAAGAACAGGCAAUGAAGCGUAGGUUUUAGUUGUUAGUGAAAAAAUUUAGAAAUAAUUGUAUGAUAUUAUCACUUUGUAUGUGUUUCUUUAUCAAGGCAAUUGUCUUGUUGACAGUACUUUAAUUAAUGGACAUGUUGGUUCAAAGUACUCAGUUUCUUUUUGGUGAAGCAAAGAAUAGAUUGCCAAUGCAAUGUCAUCUAUAAUUUAUUUAGGCAUUAUUAACCUAUUAGAAAAUAAAAUGAUAUAUUGGAUUUAUAAAUGCAAAUAAAAGAAUCAUUAUAUAUUAGUACACAUGAAAAUAGAUGUAUCUAUAAAUUGUCUCUACAUUUCUUAAUAAACAAUGUGGUGUUACUAUAAAACAUGUCUAUAUCUGUAGAUGCGUAAUAAAAAUGUAUCUACGAUAUUGUUUCUACAUUUGUUAACACGCAAUUUGGUGUUACUAUGAAACAUGUCACCCGCCACAUCACGCGCCAUAUCAUCCGCCACAUCACCUGUCACGCUCUACUAAAUCAUCUCUAUACUAAUUACUGUGCAAUAAGGCAUUGUUAUAAAAAGCGUCUAUAUUAGUAGGCAUGUUUUGUAUAUGUAUCUAUAAAGUGUAUCUAUAUUUCUUAACACGCAAUGAAGCAUUACAAUACUACAUAACUACACCACUAGAGACGUUUUAUACAUGUGUCUGCAAAAUUGUAUCAAUAUUUUUAGAUAUGCAUCUAACAUGUUUAUAAAAUGUCUCUUUCUUUGAUAGCAAUGCUUAAAGAAUUCAUCUCUACAAGGUCUGACACGGCACAUAUGAAACGUUUCUAACAUGCUUUAUGAAAGCGUGCCUACAUUGACAUAGAGAUGAAAUAAAGCGUGUUUAACUCUAAAUCUAGCAUAUCUAGGGGGGGUAUUCUAGUAGUGGUGUGAGCUAAUAGCAUCAUGUGACCAAAAAGAUUAGUUCGUGCUGCUUCUUUGAUAUGUGUGCGACGUGCUCCUACAGGCUGGAAUCACCAUCGGAGCUAACUGCGUGCGUAGUUAAGAGAUUGAGCCAACAUAUCGAGGUUAUAUAUUGCAGUCUUCUCGAGUACACCAUCAUGUACGCACAUAGAUUGUUAUAGUGUCAUACUUAUACCGCUCCAAUAGAAUACGCUCUAUGAUUAACUUGUUUUUGCAGGUAUGAUGUGAAUGGUAUGGCCUCAAUGUCAUGUGAUGAUGUAUGUGAUAAUUUGUGCGCCAGCGUGCGCAAAUUAACACAACCGGGUUGAGGUUGUGCCAUUAUUGUAUAACGACCUGCGUGUCGACUUGUGAUGUUUGAAUCCUCAUGUAAUUUAUUUACUAGCUUAGUUUCUAUCCAUGGAGGCUUCGAGCAUGAUGGCGAUGAUGAGCACCACAAGACAAGAGGCAUGGCUAUGGAGGUCACCGAGGAACCAUGAUGAUGGAGUCCACUUUGAUGAAAGAGGCUAUACUAUUCACAAUAUAAUAUGAUUAUAUGCCUGUGAUGUUUAUUUUCCUAUCAUACUAUUCUUUCAUGCUUUACAUGUGGUGGAUGUUUUUGUCAUGAUACGAGGAACCAAAGGUAGCCAGCCCAUGAAGUGACUGCUUUGUUGACGUAUCCAUGCAGGGCCGCUACAUCCAUGGUAGACGUGCGCGAUGCAAAACUAGGUACAUGCUUGUGCCCUGUUGACCAGUUUACGACAAUUCUGUGGUGGAAAGAUUGUGGCGCGUGCAUGCACUUUCAUCUAGGUACUAAUCCCAUUGCAAGCUGUGGAUGUCACCUAUUGUAAGUCUCAACAACUAUUUUCAGACAACAGAAACAAGCUACCAGCUAUAACCAGUGCAAAAUCUGUCAGAUCCACACAGCAAGGAAGGUGAGGGUUCGAGGAAGGGCUCGGGCCAUGCAUUUACCUUGGUGUAUGACAAUAGCAGAUGGAGAAAAUGAUUGCUGGAGCUUGGGAGUGUCAGGGUUUGGUGGCUUGGGAACUCAUCAGCAUGGACGCACCCUGACGCAAGUGGACGUGGGGUUCUGGACUUCUCUUCGUCGUGGUGGCGGUCGAUGAUGUCAACGUGUAGAGGUGGUGCCGGCUCGAGUGAAGGCGGCGAGCGGCAGCGUAGAGGCAAUGCUGACCGAUGCCCCGGUGGCGCCCCUCCUUGGCCCCUGCCCCAACGGGAUCCGACGGCGCUCGGCCUAGCCUGGUGCAGAUGGGACCAGUGGUGCCCACCCCAGCCUGGCGCGGAUUGGAUCCGGAGGUGCCCACCCCGACCCAGCACGGAUUGGGUCUGGCGACGCCUGCCCCGGCUUGGAGCGUACAGGGUCUGGUGGCAGCCGCCUGACCAUCGCACGGUUGCUGCCCAGCCUUGCAUGGUUGGAGGACUGGAGGCUAGCAGCAGAGGUGAGCGAUGGAGAGAGAGGUCGUGGGAGACUGGGGGCUCUGCUGCUCUGGGCGGACGAGUUGGGGUGGCGGAGGUGAAGUGAACGUCCUAGGGUUUUGGAUGAGCCUAAUUUUAUACUAUCAGGGUGCAAUCAAAGCCAUUGAAUCCGAAAUGGACGCUAGAAAUAGUUAGGCCAUUUAGGCUAAAACAGGCCCGGUUUCAUUUCUACUCUACUUAACAUUUUUCUUUUUCUUUUUUUAUUUUUUGCAGCAUUGUGGCGUAACACAUAAAAAUAAUUAUGUUAUAUACACCAAUACAUUUUUUAUAUUUAAUAGCCUACAUAUAAGUUGUUUGGUAGAAGUUUCAAUACUUUUAAAACUGAUUUACUAUUUUCUAAAUGUUAAGUGAAUUUCUACAUGGUUAUUGAAAUUAAUUUCAAAUUGAACUAUGUGUGAAUCUAAUAAGAUACAAAAAAUUCCACAAAACUAUAUUUAGGCUCUUAGUUCCCUUCUAGCUCAUUUCUUGAAGAUUGAUGAAAAAUUCAAUUGUCAUGCAGGGACAAUUCAAACUUAUAUCUUCAAAUUAUGAAAUAAUAAUUACAAUAAUAUCUAAAUUUGGUCAUCAAAUUCUACAAAUUGAUGUGGCAGCAUAUAUUUUGGUGCCUGAGUUUUCUAUAAAAAUCAAAUGAUUUUCAUAAAGUGGGACUAUACCUUGUUCACAAAAUGAUACAUCUCCGCAUAGUUUCUGAGGACCAAUGAUGGUCACCCUUGCAUGAUGAUUGAUUGACAAUGUUGUGUUGGAAUGAUGUUGCUCUUGGCUUGUGAUGUGCAGGUGUUGGAUGCAGUGUGGCGGCCGACCGCGUACGGUGAAGGUCAAGCGAAAGGUUCAUGCCCAUGGACCAAGCGCAGUGAAGAAUGAACGCGAGUAGGCUUGGACUGAUGGACCCGAGGAGUCCGGGCGGAGUCAUGGGCGGUCCACAUGGUGCACGGAAGAGCAAGAGAACAAGAUGGGAUGGAGACGGCAUCGGUCGAGUCAAGUGGGACGGAGGCGAGUCAAGUAGGUGGCCCGGGAGCCAGGAGCGAAAGACUUGGAGGCGUCAAAGGCUUGGCAGAGACCGGACAUGCGUCGACAUUGAGGAGAUCAUGUGGCGGCCAAGCGAAGAUGGACGGUUUGGGUGGUUUGGGCCUCAAAACCACCGCGCAGGCAGUUUUGCCGGUUUGGGCCUCAAAACCAGGGGUGAGCCCGGUGUGGCCGGAGCUUCGAGAAGGAGGGCACGUGGUAUCAUCGCGAAGCUUGCCUCAAGGCGAAGCUAAGUCAUGAGGUGGCGUGUCCGUCUGAUGAGCGCAGAAAAACUUGGAUCAAAAUGGCCCUGCGUGGGUAAUUAUCCUAGUUGUAGUUGUAGGCGUAGUUUGGUCAUCUGUCCUCAACUAUAAAUAUGGGUGGAUGGCUGAUCAUUUCAGCACCUCUUCAGAAAAGCCUAAUUCAUUUGCUUAGAGGCUAGCCAAGUGAUUAGUGAGAGAGGAGAAAGGGAGAUUAGAGGGUGAUUUGCUCCUUUUCUCUUAAUUUCUUCAUCUUUAGUGGGUGGAUGAAGGGAGGAGGCUAGUCCCCAUCUUGUAAAGAUGAUUUCCUUGUAAUUUGGCUUUAAUAGAUGUCUUGAUUCGUGCUAAAUCUUUGAUUUCCGAGCGUUUUUUCCUUUUUGGUAUUUUUGAGCAUUUUUCAUGGUAUUUACCUCCUUCGCUUUUGAGUCUAAAUCCUUUGAGUUUUGUUGGGGGAAUAUGUUAUUGAGUUCCUUGUGAACAUCUUUGAAGUGAUCCCCUCUCAAAUCCUCCACAGAUUCGGCUUAAUUUGGCUUUUCCCUGAAAACCACUCCUUUCUUGUGUUCUUGACCGAAAUCAUGAAUUCAAAGGGCAAGUCUUGAUCUUUUUGAGGAGACCUUUUAUGAAUAGCUUUGGUAUGUUGUUGAGGAGUUAUGGUCAAAAUUUCGUGAAUUUUGGAGGUCAUUUGAUCGAAUUUUGAAGUGUUGAUCUAAAGUUUUCGAGCUGUUUUUCUGAGCUGUAGGAAGUUCCUACGCGACGGAAGUUCCAACAUAGGACCGGAAGUUUUGAUGAGUUAAUUUUUGAAAACCCAAAAGUCCCUGUUGGCAAUUUCUCAAUACUUCCGAUAGGUAUCGGAAGUUCUGAUACAGGGUCAGAAGUUUUGAAAACCCAAAAAUCCUAAUCUUUUAAUUUUCUCCUCUUCCCUGGUGGCUGGCGGCUAGCAAAGCCAACAGCAUGCGGCGGCGCCGGCGCCUGCCUUCAGCCUCCUAUGGUCAAGGCAUCGAUGGCGUCAUCAAGAUGAGGGACAUGAGUAGUAUUCCAAUCCUACAAGCCUACAACCAACAGAUGCGCCCCUGUUCUUCUCUGCACUUCUGCCAUCGCCUGAUCUCUCUGUCAAUCUGUACUACGAGUGUAGUUUAACACUAAACAAUAUGGUUUUGUGGUGCUGGCAUUGAAUCAUAAGAGUGCUGUUUGUGUAUCCGGAGCCAACCGUGACUGAUCUGAAUUUUGGCCAAAUUUCAUCCGAAUUUGUUUAAAAUUCAGUUGAAUCCCGCCUUGAAAUUUCCCGAAUUUCCAAAUUUCGUCCAAGGCUCCGAAUUUUUUCAACUUUUGAAUCCCAGAACCUUGCCUUGCCCUGCAAUCUCGCCCGCGAAAGUAAGGAUUUCCUUGCUCGUGCAGGAGAGCCGAAUCAGCUCUCUGGCGCUGGCAAGAUUGGCUGUCAGCGCUCGCGUGCCAACAGCAGACUGCAGCACCACCGAAUUGUACGGGCACGACAAAUCGACCUCCUCCACAAGCAGAAGCUCGGACAUCACAUGACCAAAAUCGAUCUGCUCCACCUUCAAUCGAGCUAGACUCCACCAAGAUUGAGCCCACCAAUGCCACAAAAAUCCAAUUUCUAUAUACAGGGUUGAGCUCAGCGGCAGCCAAAUCGAACUCCUCGCUUGACCCUAACGAGGACCAAGAUCUUUUCCGCCAUGUUUUCUUAACUGCAGUGUGCUCUGGCUCCCCUUCUUCCAGCUGUUCAUGGGGAUGAAACGGGGAGGGAGAAACGGUGCUAUGCUGAGCAAGACAAGCGAGGGAAACUUUCCAAACGGUACAGCCUUUCUUACCUCGCCUAUCCUUGCCAGGCAAGGCAAGCUGAGCAAGGCAAGGCGAGCUCAGCAAAGGUUCCAAACAAAUAUGGACACGUAACUAACCCACCGUAGGUCAUUCAAGACAAUUAGCAUUAUCGUGCACAUGCUGAGAUCUUGCAUUGUAUCAUUAAAGGGAAAUUAGCAGAUCGUAACAUUGAAGUAAAUUUAGAUCAGAGCAAAUGAUUUCCUCUAACUCACGCAUGACCCCUAAAAAUCGCACAUCGGUCCUGCUUCUCCUGUCAUUCCUAAAGUACCCAAAACAAUUAUUGUAGCAAGCCUUUCUUGAGCAUAAAUACCCGUACGUUGCUACAGUUUCUUACCUGCUCCCAAGUUGUCAUCUGCUAGCUCCUAGUUUGCUUGCUUCACUUCCUAAUCUAGUUUAGAAUGUUUCAUAAUAUUUCUAUAAGCGGACAACUUCUUUAAAUUCUACGUGACCUAUUUGAACGGUGUAAUCUCAAUUUUUAUACAUAUGUAAUGUGUCCUACAUCUGGUUCAAACAUGCAUUAAAACUUCUAGUAAGAUUGAGUACUAAUGCAACUCCUGUCUUAACUUUUAUGAACAUGCAAAUUAUUAUGUACAUAAAAGAUUGUCCACAAAACUUUCAGCCUAUAAAAAGAAAAAAACCGCAAGGCUAAAAUAAAUGCUCCGUCUUGAUUAUAAUAUACUCAACAAUUCAUGCCUGGGCCUGACAUCCUGACAUCAUGGCCUAGUUGCUCCAAGAAACAUGAGCAAUCAACAAAUGCAAGUAUCCUUUUACAAUUUGCUCCUCAUAAUAUAGUCAAUGAUGACCAAAUGUUCAACCUACAAAUUAAAGAAUUGGUCAAAUCCGCGUUGGAGCAUUCGACAUUUGUUCUCGUACUUUUUGCAGGACCCACAUCAGGCCGGCAAAGCACCUUCUUGCCGCUACGCCCCUGGCCUCGCAUGGUCGCCGCAUAACAGGGCGCGAAGAGGAGGGGUCGCCGCCCCUCGAGCUCACCGUUGCCGUGCCACCGCCCGCCUGAACCUUGCCCCUGACCUCUACCGCCCCUCAAGCUCCCACUGCAGCCCGUGCGUCGGCAGUGCUGCCGUCCACACAUGCUUCUCGCCAUAGCCCGCGCGUCAGUGGCACCAUGGCUCGCAGUCGUCACCACUGGUGUUGGCCAUGGCGAACAUGAUCGGGUUGACGGUGAAGAACAGCACAAAUCGGGCUUCCUAAUGCCAAGCGUGAGCUCCCUGCAACCCAAAUCGAGCUUCAGACACAAAGCUCGAGCUCUUCGCUUCCCAAAUCGAUUUUUUGCAUGCCAAGCUUGUGCUCCCUGCUGCCUCUGAGGAUGGACCAAAAGGGCAUGACUACUGCCGCCCGCGGCGUUGGUGCACGAAGAGGAAGGGACAACCUCCCUCGACACUUGCGCUCUGCAGCCACCACGGCCAUGGCCUUGCGCCAUAGAUUUCUGGUAUCCCGCGUCACUGGGAGAGUUGAGGGAGGGGGAAUCAUUGCUAGUGCCUUCAGCCACCGUCAGCUGCAGCGAUUUGUACCAAAAGCAAAGGGGCUGCUAGAAAGAGGAGGGGUAGGCUGGCUGCUUGCCGGUUUUUCUUGCUUGAACUCACAAAGGGAGUAGGGGACGGAGAAAGAAAGAAGAAGACAGGAGAGAGAGAAAACGAAUUAUGGCAGUUUAACUUAAGAAAUUUGUUUGCAAAAUAAUCAUGACGGUGGGAAGAAACAACCACAUUUUAUUAUAAGAAUAUAGAUAUAGAUAAGCUAGAAUCUUCCAAAACCUACUGGAAUAGACUACGGGAGUAAGCGCACUGGACGAUCGAGCUUCCGCGAUUAUUUGACACGUUAUGUGGCAUAUGGUGGAAAUACGAGGCGUGUGGAACCGGGUCACCUCUCGGGGUUUCAGGACGGAGGGAGUAGAUGUCACGGAUAUAUUGGUGUCCUCUGUAGAAUAAAGGAUUUAAUACGCUCUUUUGCAAAAGAAGUACAUUUCUGGACUUCUAGCUAUGUGCCAGGAUAGGGACAGACGCAGAAUUCUAAAGUUUUAAUCUUAGUACCUUGCAGUGAAGUGGCGGGCAACACUCAGUAGAUACCUUUACUUAAACUUUAGCAGCUAAAAGUUGCUAAACUUUAGUCAAGACUGUUUGAUACCUUUGCUAAACAGCAUUUAAUGAGAUGAAUAAAGACACGUUUGCUCUUAAUGAAUGCUAACCAGACAAGCAAUAAUGAGGGUAAAGGGUGUCCACCUACCUUUUUAGCAAGGUUUAGCAAUCAAAAACUUGCUAAAAAGCUAAAGUUUAGCAACCAUAGUUUAGCAAACUUUAACUAGAGUGUUUGGCAAAUAUUUUGCUAAAAGUUGCUAAACUUUAACUGUUAGAAGGGUAUCCAAACCUCCCAUCAAUAUUGGUCACCUAGGUAACUCCUGCGCCUAAUAAUUAGCAUGCGCCAUAAGAGCUUCUCCAGUGGCCGGUGCAUGGACCUACAUCCUCAUGCUCAAAGCAACUCAUCAUCACCGGACUUUUUCCGAUCCAUCGGAGGAGACAGAAGCAGCGGCGGAGGAAACGAGGACGCAUGCUAGGUUUCAGGGAAGAGCUGUGCCUAUUUUUUUAUCAUUUUUGUGGCCUUGUGGGACCCACGUAACUUUUGCUGCAGGAAUCGACUCAACCAUUUUGCUUGCGUGGCUCUCUCUCCUCAAUGAAUCGGAUCACUACUACGGAUGCCGUAAGAUUGUCUGUCACACUUGCUACAUUACAAGUGAGGGGCAUUAUGCCUGUGACUGACGAUGGACAAGAAAAUUGCUUAUCACCUAUGAACCCUCACUACCGGGGAACCAUAUUUAGUACCCGCUAGGAACCCCUUUAGUACCGAUUGUGUAAUACUAAAAGAGAUCUUUAGUACCGGUAACCGGUAUUAAAGGAUAUUAAAAAAUUUAAAAAUAAAAUUCCCGCCCCCCACCGCCCCGCCACCAGCCGACCUCCGCCCCCGCCGCACCUCCACCCUCNNNNNNNNNNNNNNNNNNNNNNNNNNNNNNNNNNNNNNNNNNNNNNNNNNNNNNNNNNNNNNNNNNNNNNNNNNNNNNNNNNNNNNNNNNNNNNNNNNNNGUAGAUGUGGCUCAAAGGUGCUGAUGUUGAUGAGCUAAAAAAAGUGAAGCAUGAGGUGCAAUAUGGAGUAUUUGCAGCCUACGCACUUGGCUCGUGAAACAUCAUUCCUUGUGGAUGAAGGUGCGCAUCUUCCAGCUCUGCCAGCGACGUCCCACCUCACACCUCCUCCGCCACAUAAGCAGCCCGCCGCAGAUCCAUCGGGUAGAUACAAGGGCUAUCUCCAUGCAUCCGAUUUCCACUCAUCGCCACACCUCGCCCUGGAAGCCCUCCUUGCCUCAGCACGAGAUGAGGGGCGAGCGAAGGGGGAGGAGAGGGAAGGCCGGGGAGGAGGGAGGGGUCCAUGAAUGACGUUCUCCCUUCGCACGUGGCGUGGUAGCUCUGAUGAUGAUCAAGAGUCAGGCAUAUAUAAUUCAUGCAUGCGGCAUUACAAAUCAAUCAAAGAUUGACCAUGUGGAAACGACAAAAUCCCUUGUAUUUAUUGAUGAAGGAAAUAGCCAUUUAGUAUUGACAAGAUAAAGCAAUGAAGAACUGGCAUAGUGUAGGAUGAUGACUUGCAUCAACACACUGUUACUGACAGGAUUAAAACGACGUACACUCAGCGUCAGCAGCAACACAGCCUUGUGUUUGCAAACAUUGCAAACGGCGACCACCAGAUAACGACAAAUAUCAGCAGUCGUCUACUCGUCUGACGACAUGGGCCACACGGAGAACGGUAGCGAGACGUCCUUAGCUACGGCGGCGGAAGCGGCGGAGAUGCUGGCGGCCAAGGAGAAGAGCUUGGACCUGUUCGCCUGAUCGCAGAACCUGCCGGCGGUGCCAGUGCAGGCGCUGAUCUGCGGACCGUAGGCGACGACCGCCGAGAACACGGCGCCCGUGGCCGUGUUGAGCAGCGCCGGCACGGCGACGUCGAUGGCAACCAGGAUGACACGGGGGAGCUUUGGCGCCUCGUCGUCGCCGUCGCCGCCCUUACCAACCUGUAGGUAGAUCCCGGCCGCCUCCAGGAUAGUCGCCGCGAUGUUUACCCAUGCCAGGUAGCUGCAUGUAGAAUACAUGAUCAGACUGCACGCACGCAUGGAGGUGGCAAGUAAGGAGUCAUAUCAUACUUACACAAAUGGUGGGUAGUUUUUGAAGGUGACGGUGACCCUGGAACCGUGGGGCUCGAAGAUGGAGCACUCGCUCGCCGUCGCCAUGACGACCGCCGAGGUGAGCGCCAGCACCAUCGUGGACAGGCGGAACAGGAGGGUCACCGCCUUGGAGCCAUUUGGCUCCUC